GUGAAUUCAGAUCUUUGAGAAAUAAAACCGGUUUACAAAUUUUUGGAUUUCGUGUCUUUUGUAGUAUUUUUAUAGGUGAAAAUUUAGAGACUUAUUAGUAUGCUUGUUAUGAAUGUGUGUAAGAGAUUUGAGGUCAAUCGAAUGGCUAGAUCGAUACAUAUGAAGGUUUUUGUAGGCUAAGGUCUCGAGAUUUAGGGUUUUGAGGACUAGUAAGGUUUUCUUACAUAUCUAGCAAUCUGCUAGUUGGAUUAGAGAGAUUUUUGGUUUUAUCAGUAGAAGACUUGAUUUCCUAUAUGCAAGUAAAAUUUGAAAGCAAUCGAAUGAUGGUAAAGGGAGAUAUCAAUGCUGGAAGUUGGCAUCAAGAUUGGAGAAGGAGAAACUAGUCGACAUCCGAGCGGAAUUUUGAGGUCAUCGACUAAUUGGUAAGUGCAAUUUUCUUCAAAAUUUGUGUGCUCGUUUCUAACUUAAACUCCAAGAAGCAUGCAAAUUUUGAAUUAGAAUGAAUUGUUCAAUCUUUAGUUAUUUAAUUUUCAACUCUGUGAUUAAGGUUUGGUUUGGAUUAGGAUUUGAUUAGGGUUUAGGGUUAGGAUUUGAUUACGAUUUGAUUUAGGAUUUAGGAUUUUUUAGGAUUAGGAUAUGGUUUAAAAUUUGAUUUAGGAUUUGAUUUAGGAUUUAAGAUUUGAUUUAGGAUUUAGGAUUUGGAUUAGGAUUUGGAUUAGGAUUUAAGAUUUGGAUUAGGAUUUGAUUUAGGAUUUGGUUAGGGAUUGGUUUAAGAUUUAGGAUUUGAUUAAGGUUUGAUUAGGAUUUGGUUUAAGAUUUAGGAUUUUUCUAGAAUUUGAUUAAGGUUAGAUUAAAAUUAAGGAUUGGUUAGAAUUUAAGUUUUUAUUAGAUUUUUGUUAGGAUUUGACUAAGUUUUCUUUAAUAUUCUUUUAUAUUUCUUUAGGAUUUUCUUGUGUUUCUUUUAUAACUUCAAUAAAAUUUAAUUGAGCUUGGUUAAUAUUUGAUUAUGAUUGUUAAUAUUUAAUUGUAAAUUUUCUAUAAUCCUAUUGGAUUGUUAGGAUCUUUUAUUGCAAUUUUCUUUUACCUUCUAUAGCGAGGUGCUUGGUACAUUCUCAAGCAAGACUUCACAUAAUACGUCAUAUUUAGUGAACCCGACGUGAAAAACUUGAGGUGGGAGGUAUUUGGAGUUUCUUUGAUCUAUUUUGGGUUAUGGAGAAGGAAGGCAAGAGAAUGGAAGGAGGAGUUUUUGGUGGUGCUUCAAGUGGAGUUGGAAGUGGAGCUUCAAUUGAAAGACAAGGUAUGUAUUUUGAUCCCAACUCUGCAAGCAUAUUUGAGGCAUUGCCCUUAUUCAUGCAACAACAACAAGUUAAGGAUCGCAAAGAGGGCAUGACAAACAAAGCAUUACAAGAUGUUGUAGACAAGAUUAAUCAAUUUGAAGGAAAAUUUGAAUUGGAUAUUACAAAAUAUUUAAGGUGUUACGUGAAGGAAAUGGAAUUGAAGCAUGUUUCAGAGAAGGAGAUGGUUCAGCUAUUUGAAUUGGCUAAUGCACCAGCAAUAAGAAAUCAUGUGAAGUCCAUUAUAGGACAUUCUGGAGGUUGAUGGAAAAAAUUAUCUCAAGCAUUAAAAGAUGAGUAUUUUUUAGAAGAUAGUGAUCGAGUUACAAAGAAGUCAUUGUCAUAAUGCGUGAAGUCUUGCUUAAGAAUGCUCCGGACACUUGGCUGUGGAAGGAAGAAUAGAAAUUAUAAUAACAAAAUCCUAAUUUUAAUAGAAUACUAACAAUGCUCUAAUUAGACCAUAAUAAUGCUAAGUAAGCUUAAUCAAAUUCAAAAAAACCUCAAAGAAAUUUCAAACAAAUAAUUAGAAUUCUUAAAGAAAUAUUAGAAGGAUCAUAAAUAUCACUCAAAUACAUCUCAAUUCAAUCUUAAUUUAAUUCUAGUUAAAAUCCUAUUGAACUUCAUUCAAACUUUAGGUCCAAACUAAUUAAAUCUUAAAUCCUAAUAAAAUCUUAAAUCCUAAAUCAAAUCCUAAAAAAAUCUUAAACCAAACUCCAAUCAAAUCCUAAACCAAACCCUGAACCCUAAAUAAAAUCCUAAAUCAAAUCCUAAAUCCUAAAUAAAACCCUAACCAAACCCUAAAUCCUAAUCAAACUCUAAAUCGUAAUCCUAAAUCCUAAACCUAAAUCCUAAAUCAAACCCUAAACUAAAUCCUAAUCCAAAUCCUAAACCCUAAACCCUAAAUCAAAUCCUAAAUCAAAUCCUAAACCCUAAAUCCUAAAUCAAACCCUAAACCAAAUCUUAACCAAACCCUAACCAAAUCCUAAACCAAAUCCUAAUAAUUCCUACAACAGAUUUAAACCUCGAUAACUAAUGAAUAAACCAUUGAUCUUAACUCAAAUUUUUCACACUUCUUAACAACUAAGUUCAAAACAAGUAUAAAAAAAUUGAAAAGGAUCGGAGUUACCAAAUUGACAAUAACCUCAAAAAUGUGCUCGAGUAUUGGCUGGCUUCCUUCUCCAAUCUUGAUGCCAAUCUUUCAGAGCCAAUAUCUCUCCUUUGCACCGUUCGAUUGAUCUCAAAAUUCUCAUACAAAUAGAAAAACAAGUCUUAUAUCUUCUCACAUAAGUUUCACUCUAAUCCAACUAGUAGAUUGCAAGAAAGCUUAAAAACUUCCACUAGACCUAAAAUUCUACUUUCUGAGACCUUGACCCAAUUAAACCUCAAUAUUCCUCAAUUCAACUAUUAGAUCGAGCUCAAUUUUACGACACAUAUUAAAAACAACUAUAACCAUAAUUCUACAAAAUUUCACUUGUAGAUCUAUUACUAAACUCUUGAAAUCACCCAAAACAUAAACCCUAUUUUAUUUCAUAAAACCUAAAUCAUCCAAAACAAACCUUGACUUUGCAAAGCUCUUUCAAAGUCAUAACAACUCCAAAUCACCCAAAAUUAACACCUAUAGAAACCUUAUUCAAUUUGCUAUCAAAACUUUUUCUCCGAUCUGCCAAAGAGUCCCGAAGUUGUCGUGCAUACUCGGUUUUGUACCUCAGGGUCUGAUUUCGACCCUAGUUCAUAACCGGCCCUCUCCGGGUAUCAAUAUCUAAUUUUUCUUAAGUAAUUUUUAUUAGAAUUUACUCUUAACUUCUUCUUAAAGAUGUCUUUAUCAUUUUUUUUCCAAUCUACCUUAUUUUUCCUUAUUUUUGGCCUUACAAAGUAAGUAGAAGCUAUUUUUUCUAAAAGGGCAGCAUUACUACUAAAAGUUUUACUGCCUUCCUAUCUUUUAUCCAUAUUUUUCUACCUUUUCUUUUAACUUGGGUCUUCUAUAAUAAGAUCCAUAUUAUCAUCUUUCACCAUGUAGUCGUGUUACAACACGACAUCAUUUUUUGAAUGGAUUGAAAGGCCUAAGAAGGAUCUACUAGCAACGGAGUUACUAAGGGAGUUUGAAAAACAAAAUUCUUGUUUAUCAAAGAAGGAGAGGCAAUUAUUAGAUCCAAGUAAAGUGGAACUUUUUCUUCAAGUGGCUAAUGGAGAAUUGCAUGAAAAGUUGGAAAUUUUGCUGGAAGAUAAAGAAGAAGUUGAAGGAUUGACAACAAAUUGAGAGAAAGUAGAAGAGGCAAUUGGGGUGCUUGCAAAAAGGGAAAGGAGAAAAGAUAGGAUGGAAAUUCAAAGACCAUUGUAAGUAUUUAAAGGAAAAAUUCCUAUUUUAUAUCAUACAUCUACGAUUCAACCUUCAAUAGCUACAUCAAAGAGAGAAGAAAUGGGCAUUGAUGAAAUCAUACGAGAAAUAAGAGAUUUUUAAAUAAAAUUUGUAAAACUUGAAGAGAUGGGUCAAUCAUCAAAAAUAUCAACAAGACAAAAUUUGAGACCAAUAGAAGGUAUGGUGCAUAGGUGCAUGUGGUGUGAUAGCAUAGAUCAUUCAAGAAGGGAGUGUGAGGAUUUUUCAGAGGCGCUACGCAAAGGAGUUGUUUUUUUUAAAGAUGGUAUGAUACACUUAAAAGAGAGUGGAAAAAAAUUAAAGACAAAUUUUGGUGAAGGGGAAUGAAGGUAUUUGUAAUAGAUGCUUUCAAGGUGCAUACAACUUCAAGCAAUGAAGCAUCAACAUUUUGGAUGGGGGCAAAUCCAAGCAAAUUCUUAAGUAUAAAUCUUGAAUAUCCAGGAGAAUCUAGUUCUUUAUGGUCAAGUGCAAGGAAUUAUGCUGAAAAGGAAAAUUUUACUGGAGAUGAUCUAAAACAUGUUGGCAAUAAUAUUCGGCAAAUUACUAGGCACGGGCAAAUCCAAGUAAAUGCUUAAGUAUAAAUCUUGAGUAUCCAGGAGAAUUUAGUUCUUUAUGGUCAAGUCCAAUGAAUUAUGCUGAAAAGAGAAAUUUUAUUAGAGAUGAUCUAAAAUAUGUUGGCAAUAACAUUUAGCAAAUUAUUAGGUGGAAUGAUCCAGUAGAUAGAUUAUCAAUUCAUGCUCAUAUUGCAAGGAGUCAACAUGAAGCAUAAAUAGAAGAAAAAUGAAGGAGAGACGAAAAUCAUGAAGGGACAUCAAAAAGAAUCACAAGGGGAGAUAAAACUCAACAACAUAAGAAUCUUAUGCAUGAAGAGACAAUAGAGAAUAUUUCUACAAAGGAGAGGGAGAUUGUGAAAGAAAAAGCAAAGGUUCCUGCUUAUAAAUUACAAUGAGAUAUUGAAGUUGCUACAAAUUUGAAGAAAGUAUUGAAGGAGCGGAUUUUAAGUAGAAAGGUUGAAUUUACAAUUGAUGAAAUUUUAGGAAUUACAAAACGAGAAUUUUAUGAAAUUAUUAUUGAUACAAUAAAAAAAAAACAGCAUUCUAUUGGUGAUACUAUGAUAUUAAAUGCACAAGAUACAAAGGCAAUAGGAAGCAAUGAAGAUGAAAAAAUUAAAAUACAAAUUGUUGGAGAUGUUUCACGAGUCAAAUUUACAAGAAAAGAAGAUAUGAUUCAAGCUUCUAGUGAUUAUUCUUGAAUUCAUUGGGCAAGGGCUACUAUGGAAACUUUAGUAAAAUUGGGAGAUUUAGAAGAACCAAUCAUAGCAUUGAUUGAACAUAGUUCUGAAAUAAAUUUAAUGUCAACAGAAUUAUAUAAAAAGUGAAAUUGGCCUAUUGAUAUUGAGCAUGGGUGGAUGAUAAGAGCAGCAAAUAAUUCAAAGGGGGAUUUGUGCGGAGCUUGUCUAAAUAUCAAGGUGACAAUUGGAGAUGUUAUUCAUGAACAAAAUUUCUUUGUAUAAGAUAUAUCUACAUAUCCUAUUAUAUUAGGACAACCAUAUAUUACUGCCACACAAAUGGAGACAAAGGUUAUAGAUGAUGGAUCAGCUUAUGCAAAGAUAAGAAGUCAAGACAGAAAGAAGGUGGUGCAAUUUUUAAUAGUUUGUGUAAAUCAUGGAAGAAAUAGGGAUAGUUUGAGGGAACAUCCUUUGCCAAAGAUACAUAAAGAAUUUGAAGAUCUUGAAGACUCAAAGGAUUUUUACUAGACGCCAUUCUAAAGCAGGAUUGCAAUGAUAAAAAGAGUGAAGGCUUCCCGCAUAAUAGAAAGGAUGAAAAUAUUGUAGGAUUAUUGUGAGACGGAUAUAUUUUAUUCAAAAAACUAAAUAAUUUUAUUAGGAUAGAUAAGAAAAAUAUUAAGAAUAUAGAACAGGGAUUAAAGAAAUGUGGAAUGAUUAAUGAAAAUGAAUACAUAUCAGGGAUGUUUGAAGAAUCUUAUUUUGGUAAUACUAUGAAUGAUUUACAAAUAUUAUUAAAUAGAGAUUUUGAAAGAGUUGACAAAGUAAUAAAUGUCCAUUCUAAGUAAUUUUAUGAUGGAAUAAAAGAAUAUAUGGAUAGGUAUGAAGUGAAGGUGAACACAAAAUACAAGACUGUUGCAAGGAAGAUUAACCUAGUGGCAUUGCCACUACCAUCAGAUUUUGAAGAAAGGAUUAAAGGGGCUUCUAUGCAACCUAACUUAAAAGAUCCAAGGAAAAUAGGUCAUGAAUUCAAGGAUAAUUUGACGUUAGAUGGUUUGAAAAUUGGAUGUGAUAAAUUUUUGAUAAGAGAUGAGGAGAGAUGUUUUAAAGAAAUACUUUCACGACAUGGUAAAGCAUUUGCAUUUGAAUCACAUGAAAUAGGGUGCAUUGAUCUGAGUAUUGUAGCACCUAUGGUUAUUUUUACAAUUCCACAUGAACUAUAGAAAUUGAGGCCAAUUCUAGUUCCAAAGGUCCAUUUACCAAAGCUAGUUGAAUUACUCAAUGAAAAAAUUAAGAUGGAAAUUUUAGAACCAUCUAUUGCACCAUAUUCUAAUAGGUGGUUCAUAGUACCUAAGAAAAAUGGAACAUUGAAGUUUAUUCAAGAUAUGCAAUCGGUACAUAAAAUAACUAUUAGAAACAUGGGCUUGAGUCCAAUUGUGGAUGAGUUUGCAGAGGCAUUUGUUGGAUGAUCAAUUUAUUCUAUGGGAGAUCUUUACUCAAGAUAUGAUCAAUUUCAAUUGGCAAUGCAAAGUAGAGAUUUGACAACUAUGAAGACACCAUUGGGAUUGGUCAAAAUGUGUACAUUAUCAAAAGGAGCUACAAAUUAUGUGGCACACAUGAUGAAUGGAAUGCAUAAGAUAUUAAGAGAUUUUAUUCCAAGAAUAAUAAUACCUUUUCUAGAUGAUGUGCCAAUUAAGGGAUGUGAAGAAGAAAGAAAGGAUGAGACAUUGGAUUCAAAGGGAUGUAGGAAGUUUGUGGCAGAUCAUAUUAAUGAUUGUUAGAAGAUUUUGACAAGGUUAGAAGAAGUUCAUUUAACCUUAUUGGAGACAAAAUCAAUAUUUGGAGUAAAAGAAGUUUUGGUAGUAGGGCACAUGUCUGGUUCAUAUAGAUGAAAAUCAAGAAAGAAAAAGUUGAUAUUAUAAAAAAAAUGAAAGAGUGUGCAAAUAUGACGGAAGUCAAGAGGUUUUUAGGAGCAUGUAUUUUCUAUCAUAUAUGAAUACCUCAUUUUGCACAUAUAGCAGAUCCAUUAUAUGAGUUGUUACGAAAGAAUCAAAAAUUUCAAUGGAAAGAAGAACAAAGAAAAGCUAUGGCAAAGUUAAAAGAAUUUCUUUCUUCACCUCCAACUUUGAAGAAAGUAAAUUAUGAAUGUAGAAGGCUAGUAAUAUUAACAGUUGAUGCAAGUCCAAUUGGAAUAAGUUGGACAGUUGGACAAGAUGAUGAAUAAGGGAAUAGAUAUGUAGUAAGGUUUGGAGCAAAGAUUUUGAAUGCUAAACAUAGGAUAUAUGUACAAAUCAAAAGAGAAUUAUAGAGUGUAGUAAUAGCUAUGAAAAAUAAAAGAGAGUAUUUGAUUGGUGCAUCAGUAGUUGUAGAAACAGAUUGUCUACCUUUAUUGAAUAUGAUUACAAGUUGUUCAACUCUCGAUAUUACUAUAUUAAGGUAGAUGGCAUAUAUCAAAUCUAUAAAUCUAGAAUUUAAACAUAUUACAGGAAAAGAAAAUUUAGUCAUAGAUAUGUUAUCAAGAGCAAGAUAUUAUGAUGAAGAAGAUAUGAUAGAUUUAGAAGAUGAUGUGGGUACAAAUUUUUAUAGUAAUGUAUUAUCAAAAGAAAAAAGUAUAUGUUUGAAUAUACCAUUAGAAACAUUUUCAAGAGAUCUAUAUGAAGAAGAAUGGAAAGACAUUGGCGAGUAUUUAAGCACAUUAAAGCAACAAGAUGGUUGGACACAUCAAGAAUUUAAGAAAAUCUGAAAGAAAGCCUAUGGAUAUUUUUUAUGUGAUGGAUAUUUAUGGAAGCAUCCAAAGAAGAGAGGAGAAGUACCACAACAAGUGAUAUGUGGUUUAGAAGCCCAACAAAAGAUUAUUAAGGAAUUCAUGAAAGAUUAUGGGUAGGGCAUCGAGGUAUUUGGAUAAUAUUUAUUAAGUUGAAAGAAAAAUAUUGGUGGAAGGGCAUGUAUAGGGAUGUGGCGGAUUUUGUAGGAUCUUGUGAAACUUGCCAAAUAUAUUCAAAUAUUCGUCAUCGAGAUGGUUUGCAUCCUACAUACCUAUUAGUAAUUCAUUAUAAAUUGGUAGUUGAUUUAGUUGUAAUGCCAAUGGAAUUUGGUCAGAGGAAAUAAUUGGUAAUUGCUUGGGAAGAUUUGACAAAGCAAGUAGAGGGAAGAGCACUUUCAACAAAGACUACGGAAGAAGUAUGUCGGUUUAUAUUAGAGAAAAUUAUUUGUCAGUAUUAUAAAAAUCACUGCAAAUAGAGGAGAAUUGGAUGCAAAUGAAGCACAAGAGUUCUUUGAAAGGAUGGAUAUUAAACUUACAUUGACAACAUCAUAUAAUCCGAAAGGGAAUAGCAAGAGUGAAUGUGGACAUUCUCCGAUUAUUAAAGCAUUGGUUAAAGCAUGCAAAGGUAAGAUAAGUGAUUGGCCUAAAAUAUUACCAUUUGCAUUAUGGGCGGAUUGCACAACUCAUAGUACGGUUACAAGAUACAUGCCAGCAGAAUUGAUGUAUGGUCAAAAACCGGUAAUACCAAUAGAGGAGGUUGUAUCAACAUGGGCUAUAUUACCUUGGAAAGAUGGUUUAACAAGAGAAGAGUUAUUGGCAUUAUGAAUUCGACAACUUGAAAGAAGGUCUGAGGACAUUGAAGUAGGUAUGAGAAAGUUGAAAGAAGCAAGAAAAAAAAAAAAAAAAAAAAGUUUGACAAAAAGUAUCGAUUGCAUCCAAAACCAAUUCAAAAUGGUGAUUGGGUAUUGAUUUAUGAUAGUAGUUUGGACAACCAACAUAGUACGGCAAAGAAAUUUGCAAGGAGAUGGAUUGGACCUUAUGUUGUCAAACAAAUGCACGAGAAUGGAACAUAUUUGUUACGAGAAUUGGAUGGUAUAGAUUUAAAGAUACCAAUAGCAGGCAAUCGAAUCAAAUUGUUUAAUCAAAGAAGUAAAGACAUUUGUUUUGAUGAAGAAAAAAAUCUAAUAGGAGAUAUUGAGAUGGAAGCAAAAGAAAAAAAAUGAAGAUUAAGAAUUUGACCAAGAUGAAGAACAUUCGAUAUCAAUAUAAUGAAAGAACUUGGUGCAUUCCAGAGGAUGCACAGGUUCAGGGAGGGUGGAUGUCUUGAUAUAACAUGGUUAACAAGUGAAAGGGUGAAGAAAAUAUCAUGUUUUGAGGAUCUCACUUCAAAAAUAUUAUAGAAAAUUAUCUUGGAAAAAUAGAUAUUAGUCAAAGGGUAGAAAAAUUAAAGGUACUAAUACUGCCUUUUUACAAAUUAUGCUUCUAUUUACUUUGUAAGGCCAUAAAUAAGGCAAAACAAGGUAGAUUAAAAAAAUAAAGAAUAUAAGCAUAUGUAGGGAGGAAUUAGGAGUGAAAAUUAGUAAAAAUUACCUCAAGAAGACGAAAGUUGAUACCCAAAGAGGACCAGUUAUGAACUUGGGUCGAAAUCAGACCCCGAGGCACAAAACCGCACUUUGACGGCGACUCAAAGAUUCUUUGGGAGAUUGGAGAGCCGAAUGAGAGAGAAGACUUGUGGAGGGAUUUUUGAGAGGUGAUUUCGUGUCGUUUGGAUCAGUAUUGGUUUUUUGAGGUAUUUUCAAAGCGAGUGAUGUUCUUUGUGAAUUCAGAUCUUUGAGAAAUAAAACCGGUUUACAAAUUUUUGGAUUUCGUGUCUUUUGUAGUAUUUUUAUAGGUGAAAAUUUAGAGACUUAUUGGUAUGCUUGUUGUAAAUGUGUGUAAGAGAUUUGAGGUCAAUCGAAUGGCUAGAUCGAUAUAUAUGAAGGUUUUUGUAGGCUAAGGUCUUGGGAUUUAGGGUUUUGAGGACUAGUAAGGUUUUCUUACAUAUCUAGCAAUCUGCUAGUUGGAUUAGAGAGAUUUUUGGUUUUAUCAGUAGAAGACUUGAUUUUCUAUAUGCAAGUAAAAUUUGAAAGCAAUCGAAUGAUGGUAAAGGGAGAUAUCAAUGCUGGAAGUUGGCAUCAAGAUUGGAGAAGGAGAAACUAGUCGACAUCCGAGCGGAAUUUUGAGGUCAUCGACUAAUUGGUAAGUGCAAUUUUCUUCAAAAUUUGUGUGCUGGUUUCUAACUUAAACUCCAAGAAGCGUGGAAAUUUUGAAUUAGAAUGAAUUGUUCAAUCUUUAGUUAUUUAAUUUUCAACUCUGUGAUUAGGGUUUGGUUUGGAUUAGGAUUUGAUUAGGGUUUAGGGUUAGGAUUUUAUUACGAUUUGAUUUAGGAUUUAGGAUUUUUUAGGGUUAGGAUAUGGUUUAAAAUUUGAUUUAGGAUUUGAUUUAGGAUUUAGGAUUUGGAUUAGGAUUUGGAUUAGGAUUUAGGAUUUGGAUUAGGAUUUGGAUUAGGAUUUGGAUUAGGAUUUAGGAUUUGAUUUAGGAUUUGGUUAGGGAUUGGUUUAAGGUUUAGGAUUUGAUUAAGGUUUGAUUAGGGUUUGGUUUAGGAUUUAGGGUUUUUCUAGAAUUUGAUUAAGGUUAGAUUAAGAUUAAUGAUUGGUUAGAAUUUAAGUUUUUAUUAGAUUUUUGUUAGGAUUUGACUAAGUUUUCUUUAAUAUUCUUUUAUAUUUCUUUAGGAUUUUCUUGUGUUUCUUUUAUAACUUCAAUAAAAUUUAAUUGAGCUUGCUUAAUAUUUGAUUAUGAUUGUUAAUAUUUAAUUGUAAAUUUUCUAUAAUCCUAUUGGAUUGUUAGGACCUUUUGUUGAAAUUUUCUUUUACCUUCCAUAGCAAGGUGCUCGGUACAUUCUCAAGCAAAACUUCACGUAAUACGACAACGCUAUAGUACAUGAUAUUAAAAUUGGGAAGUAGAGCUGUGAGGUAGUGAAGUAGUAUUGGAAUUGUGAGGCAAUACUACAAGUCAAUGAGGUUAUAGUAGAGUCACAAUGUAGAGUUGCAAGGCAAUAAGGGACUAAAGGCGCUAGAUUCUAGGUGGAAAGGCUCAUUGCAAAAUAUGAAAGUAUAAUUUUGAUUUUUUUUGUUUUGUGAGAUUUAUUGUGGGACUUAUUCUCAUUAUAAUAAAGUAUUAUAUUUGUGGUUUUUAAUAUUGAAAGUGACAUUGAGGUUGUUUAGUAAGGUACUUUGUCACCCUAUAUUUUAUUGUCAUAAGUUUUGUAAUUUGUAACCAUCAACUAUAAGUAGGUGUUUGUUGCUUUGAUUUACUUUUGAUUUUUACUUAUGUGUUGUUGGAAAUAAGGAUUUAGUAUAGAUAUUUGGAUUUUUUUUUGUAUCUUCUUCUAGUUAUAGGUAUUAUUUUUAAAGAUAUUUUAUUGUUGUAUUACUUAUAUUCUUGUUUAAAAAUACAUCAAAUACCUAACUGAGGAAGGUAAGUAAAAAUACAAGAUUAAUUCUACUAAGUCUAAUAGAACCUUAAAUAGACUUCAAGUAAUUCCUAAUAAACCCAAUUAAACUUUAACCUAUCAAAAUAACUAUAAAAGAAGUAAAAAAUAUAAAGAAACAUAAAGAAGUCAUGAUUUAAUCUCAAAAAAAAAUAACAAGAAAUCUUUAAAACAUACAAAAAUAACCUUAAAAAAAUAAUAAUUCUAAAAAAAUAUUGAGAAAAGAAAAUUUAAAGAAAUAGCAAAAAAUCCUUUUAAAAUACUGAAAGUAGAAAUUUUAAUGAAAUCUUAAUUGAAUUUCAAUCAAAUCUUAGAUCAAAUCUAAAUUAAAAUCCUAAUUGAAUCUUAACCAAAUUUUAGGUCAAACCUUAAUGAAAUCCUAAUAAAAUCUUAAAUCUUAGAUAAAUCCUAUAUCAAAUCCUAAGUCCUAAUUAAAUUAUAGACAAUUCCUAAAUCAAAUCCUAUAUCAAAUCCUAAGUCCUAAUUAAAUUAUAGACAAAUUCUAAAUCAAAUCCUAAUCAAACUCUAGAUCUUAAACAAAUUCUUUAUAAAUCCUAAAGCAGAAUGGAACUUCAAUAACUAAUAAUCAAAUCAUUGAUAUCAAAUCAAAAUUUAUAUUUUUUUUAAUAUCCUAAUUAAAAAUAAGCACAAAUAAGAUGAAAUCGAUCUCACUUAUCAAUUGAGAGAAAUGCAAGAUAAUCCAAUUAGGUAUUAGGUUGCCUCUUACUCCAACCUAAAUAUUGAACUUCCAAUGGUAAUAUCUCCUUCUUAUACUUUUGAACUACUCUCAAAUUUCAUCCAAAUGUUGGAAAUUGAAACUAAUAUUUAUAUAAAAAAAAUUCACUUCAAUCCAAUUGACAGAUUAUUAAAGAUCUCAGAAACACUCAUUGUCCCUCAAAUUUCAAUUUUUGAGACCUCAAUCUAUAAAACCCUCAUAUACUUCAAUCUAACUAUUUAAUUAAUUUCAAAAUUUGAAUACACAUUUACAACUAGUAUAUCAAUACAUUGGCCAAAUUUCACUUAUAUAUACUCCACAAAAUUCAAGAAACCUUCAAAUUUGUAAAUAUAUUUUUAUUUCUGAAAUCCUAAUCCCUCUAAGAAUAUCACUAACUUUGAAAAUCCCUCAAAAUCUCAAUAUUGAUCCAAAUGAUAUAAAACCAAUGCUUACAAAUUUUUCUUUAAGUUCGUUCUUAAAUUCCGCUCUCUAAUCUCCAAAAAUUUCUUAGAGUUGCUGUAUGGAUGUGGCUUUGUGCCUCAAGGUCUGAUUUCAAUCUUAGUUAAUAACUGGUGUUCUCUAAGUAUCAAUUUUUGAUAAUUUGAGGUAAGUUUUUCUUUAACCUAUUUCUAAUUCUUUCUUGAUUAUAUCUAAUUCAAUUUCUUAUCUCAUUUACUUUAAUUUGGUUUACUUAUGUAUCUACAAAGUAAAUAGAAGUUCCUUCUACAAAAGGUAGAAUUGAAACUAAAUCUUUUAUUACCUUUCUAUUAUUCAUUCUUAUUUUUCUACUACAUCUCUCUAUUAGACUCUUCUAUAAUAACAUUCAUAUUUUUUACUAUAUAAUUGUGUUACUACACAAUACUAUAGUUAUCUCAUUUUAUAUUUCUACUAAUUUGUAUUAAUAAGCACACUAUAAGGAUGAGGUCGAGUUGAUGGCCGAGAAGAUCCUUUUAUUUAUGGAUUUAUUAGACUUGUAAUGAUUCUAAGGUGAUUAUCAAUGAAUUAUAAAGCUUAGUAUUUUUGUAGAUGUAGAUUAUUUUUUUAGCCUUUAAAUAGUUAUAAGUACCCAAAUAGUCCAUUUUAUGGUACAUACUAAGAAUUGAUAUUAUUGAUCUCCUUCACCAGAUUACUUGGAUAGUGACCAUAGCAAGAAUUUCGGACUAUGGAUCGAUACUAAUAAAGCUUUUUAGUCUAUUUCAGUAUUAGAUACCACUUAGAGGCUUUGGAUCUUGAGAGUAGGCACAUUUUACAAGAUAGAAGGUGAUCCUUGCAACAUGGUGAAGGAUAGAUUUUCAAGAAGAAUUAAAGGCAUUUCUUUAUGAGAUUGAAGACUUAGGUUUCAAACAUGAAUAAAAGAAAAGCAUCAAAGAUCUCCUACUUUCAAUAAGUGACAUGCCUUUGAGCUCUUACCACAAUACUUAGAAUACAAGGCAUUCUAAAUCUUUGGAAAAUGAAGUAAUGAACAUUUACUUGAGUUGCAUAAAGAAGAGCAUUAUUGAAAGGCAUAUUGUUGUGUUGUAAUAUGAUUAUAUGGUGAAAAUAUAAUCAAAAAUAAAAUUUUAAUUAAUAUCUAUUCAGCUUGGUAUAAUAAUAAUUUAAGAUAUUUAAACAUAGCUUUUAUAAAAGCCUCUUAGUUUAUUUUUUUGUCUUAAGAGCUAGUAGAUUAAAGAUUGUUAAGUAAUUUUACCUUAUAGGCUAUAGAAAUUCUUUUACUUCCUUAUAAAGGCCAUAAAUUAGUAAAAAUAAAAUAAAAGAAGUAAAUAAUUAAUAUGGUUGAUACUAGGAUUAAGUUGAAGGUAGGAUCAAGCUAAAAAAUUCUUAGAAUAUAUUGAAUUGUUAUCCAAGGAUCAAUCAUUUAUAGGAUAGGAUCGAAAUUGAACCUCCAACCACUAAAAUACUUGCCUAGGACAAAAUAUAGGUAUAUUUGGAGAUCAACUACUAGGAUUAAAGAACUAAAUUUAAGCUUUUUUUAAAAAUUAUUAAGCUUAUUUUUAUGGAAUUUAAGAUGACUUUGUAAUUAUUAUUCAAAGUUAGGAUUUGUGUUGGUGACUUUGAAUUUAUGUAAUACAAUUAGAGUUAAUACACUUAGCUUAUUCAUACAAUAAGUGUCACAUUUAUAGUUCAAAAUUUGAUAGUACUUAAUUAAUUAGAUUUAAUAAGUAUAUGUAAAAUUUUAUAUUUAUUUAAUAGUAUAAUUGAGAGAUAUUUGAUUUUUGAUAUAAGAAGGUAUUGAAAGUUGGCAAUUUAGAGUUGGAUAGGAUUUCUAUAGUAUCCACAAAUUUACUAGUUGAAAUAAGGUGAAUUUUGGCAUAAUAUUAAAAGACUUAAAGAUCAAGCUACAUACCAAUUUUGAAUUGAAAUUAAUAACUAGAGAAGGAAAAAUUACUACUAGAACAUUUGUAAGAAUUUUAAAGUUGGAGGCUGAGUAACACCAGUGUAGUUUUUUGGACGAUUUUUCAUAAUUUGUAAGUUGGAUUGGAUUGAUUUUUUUUAGGCAUGUAGAAUACUUAUAAAAGAAAAUUUAUUUGUAAAAUUUUGCAUCAAGUGGAUAAUUAGAUUAAGAGUUACAACUUAUUGAAGGUCACUAAUUAGGAUUAGGGAUUAUAAAGAAAAAUCAAAAUUACAUAAUUAUGAAAGUAAUAAGGUAAUUGGAGUUUUCAUAUGAUUGAGAUUACUAAAAAUAGUACUUUUGAAUACUUUAUAUUGAUUUUAAGUACUAUUACAUUGAAAUUCAAAUUGCAUACUUUUUAUGUGGACAAAACCUAUUAGGACUUCUUGGAUACUUGUAAAACACUUAACCUUUCACAACCACAUGCUUGAUGUAUUUUCAAACAAGAUAAUGUGUAAUAUGACAAUGCUAUCAUAUUGUAACAUGUUAAUAUGGUGAAAUUAUAAUCAAAAAUAAAUUUCUAAUUAAUAUCUAAUCAUUUUGAAUUAAUAAUAAUUUAAGAUAUUUAAAUAUGAUUUUUAUAAAAGCAUCUUAGUUUAUUUUAUUAUCUUAAUAGCUAGUAGAUUAAAGAUUGGUUAAUAAUUUUACCUAUUAGAUUUUAAAAAUUCUUGUAUUAUCUUAAAAAAGCCCUAUUUGAUAAAAUCAAGUCAAAAGAGGUAAAAAAUUAGCAUGGUUGAUAUUAGGAUUAAGUUGAAGGUAGGAUUGGACUAAAAAAUUCCUAAGAUAGGUUAGAUUGAUAUCCAAGGAUCGAUCAUUUGAGGGACAGGGUCAAAAUCAAACCUCUAGCCAUUAAAAUAAUUACCUAGGAAAAAAUAAGAGAGCAUUUGAAGAUCAAAAAUUGGAAUUUGUGAUGAAGAUUUAAGCUUAUUCCAAGGAUGUAAAGCUUGUUUUUUUAAGAUUUGGAAUGACUUUGCAAUUAUUGUUCAAAGUUAAGGUUUAUAUUGAUGACUUAUGAUUUAAGCAAUAUAAUUAGAACUAGCACUCUCAACUAGUUCAAGCAAUUGGUAUCACAUCUAUAGUUCAAAAUUUGAUAAUAUUUAGUUGAUUGGAUGUGCUAAGUGUGUGUAAAUUUUUUUAUUAAUUUAAUAGUCAAAUUAAGAGAUAUCUAGAUUGUAGUACAAGAGGAUAUUUAAAGUUGACAGUUUGAAGUUGAGUAGGAUUUCUAUGACAUCUAAAGAUCUACUAAUUUGAUCAAGGUGAAAUUUGGCAUGGUUAUGGAAGACUUCAAGAUCAAGUUAUAUACCAAUUUUGAAUUGAAGUUAACGGUAUUAUAAUGUAAUAUGACUAUAUGGUAAAAAUAUAAUCAAAAAUGAAUUUCUAAUUAAUAUCUAAUUAUUUUGGUUCAAUAAUAAUUCAAGAUAUUAAAACAUGGCUUUUAUAAAAAUUUCUUAGUUUAUUUUCUUGCCUUAAUAGUUAGUAGGUUAAAGAUUGGUUAGUAAUUUUACCUUCUAGGCUAUAGAGACUCCUUUACUAAUUUAGAUAGACCAUAAAUUAAUAAAAUCAACUCAAAAGACGUAAAUAAUUAGCAUGGUUGAUACUAUGAUUAAGUUGAUAAUAGGAUUGGGAUAAAAACCUCUAGGAUAGGUUAUAUUAAUAUCUAGGGAUCAAUCAUUUGUAAGAUAGGGUCAAAAUCAGACCUCUAGCCACUAAAACUACGACCUAGGGCAAAAUAAGGAGGCAUUUAAAGAUUGGUGAUUAGAAUUGGAGAAUUAGCUUGGAGCUUGUUCUAAAGACUUAAGGCUUGUUUUUGUAGGAUUUAGUUUGACUUUGAAAUUAUUAUUCAAAGUUAGGGUUUGUAUUGACAACUUAAAAUUCAUAUAAUAUAAUUAAGGCUAUCAUUCUUGGCUAGUUUGUAAAAUUGGUGUUACAUCUAUAGUUCAAAAUUUGAAAAUAUUUGAUUAAUUACGUGUGCAAAGUAUAUGUGAAAAUUUGUGAUUAUCUAAUAGUGCAGUGUUGUGAUGUAAUAUGACUAUAUAGUGAAAUUAUAAUUAAAAUUUAAUUUUUAAUUAAUAUCUAAUUAUCUUGAUUUAAUCAUAAUUCAAGGUAUCUAAACAUGGCUUUUGUAAAAGCCUCUUAGUGUGGUUUUUGAGUUGUUUUCUCAUGAUUUGUAAGUUGGAUUGAGGUGAAUUCUUUAAAGCAUAUAGAAGACUUACAAUGGCAUUUGUAUGCAAAAUUUUGCUUCAAGUGGACAGUUAGAUUAGUAGCUACAACUUACUAAAGCUUACUAAUUAGGAUUAAGGUUUACAAAGAAAAUUUAAAAUUAUCUAAUCAUAAAAGUAAUAAAGUAAUUGGAAUUAUAUAUGAUUGAAAUUACUAAAAAAAGUAUUUUUGAGUAUUUUGUAUUAGAUUUAAGCACUUUUGAAUUAAAAUUCAAAUUAUAUUUUUCUUAUUAGGGUAAAAUAUAUUAAGAUUCUUGGAUACUUGUAAAACACAAUCCCACCUUCCAUAGUCAGAUGCUUGGUGCAUUUCCAAAUAAGAUGAUAUGUAAUAAAACAUGAAUGUUGGAGAAGGAAAAAUUGCUACUAGAACAUUUACAUCAACUUUCAAGUUGAUAGCCAAGUGACAUUACUAGGAUUUUUGGGCUUUUCUUUUACAAUCUAUAGGUUGGAUUGGGCUGAAUUUUUUUAAGCAUGUAAAAGAUUUAUAAUGGCAUUUGUGGGUAAAAUUUUAGAUCGAGUAGAUUAUCAAAUUUGAAGUUAUAGCUUGCAAAAAUACACUAAUUAGGAUUAGGACUUGUAAAGAAAAAUUAAAAAUACCUAAUUAUAAAAUUAAUAAGGUAAUUGGAGUUUAUAUAUGAUUAAGGUUCAUAAGAUGAGUAUUUUUGAGCACUUUAUAUUGACUUUAAGUACUUUUGAAUUAAAAUUCGAAUUGCAUUCUUUUUAUAUGGAUAAAACCUAUUAGAAUUUUCUUGAAUAUUUGUAAAUCACAACUUCACCUUCCACAGCCAAGUGCCUAAUGCAUUUCUAUACAAGACAUGUAUUAUGAUAUAAGUUGUCAACUCAACAUGAAAGUUUGGAGUGGAAGGUGUUGGAUUGUAUUUGUGGUUAUUUGAAAUUUGUAGUAUAAGAAGGCAAAAAAAUUAAAUUUUAAAUUUUUGAUGGAGCUUUGGAUGGAGCUUCAAGUAGAUCUUUAAGUGGAGCUUCAAGUAGAUCUUUAAGUGGAGCUUCAAGUAGGUUUUCUACUAGUGGAUAAGGUAUGUACUUUGAUCCGAAUACUACAAAUAUGUUUCAAGUAUUUACAUUAUUUAUGCAAUAGCAACAUGGCAAUGAUCACAAAGACGUAUUAGCAACCAAAGCAAUGCAAGAAGUAAUUAACAAAAUUGAUUAAUUGGAUAGAAGAAAUAUUUCAAAGUAUUUGAAAUUUUAUAUACAAAAAUGAAGUUGAAUCAAGUUUUUUAAAAAAAGAUGAUUCAGCUAUAAAACUUGCUAUAAUAUUAGAGAUAAGAAAAUAUAUUAAAUCAAUUAUAGAGAAUUUUGGAAAUUUAUAGGAGACAUUUUUAUAUGCAUUAAAGGACAAAUAUGUUUUAGAAGAAAUUGAUUAGGUUACUAAGAAAUUAUUUUAAAAAUGGAUUGAGCUGUCUAACAAGAAUUUUCAAGCUUCAAAAUUUUUGAAGGAAUUUGGAAGAUAAUAUUUUUGAUUAUCAAAGAUGAUAAAAUUAACUAUAGAAUCAAACAAGGAUGAAUUUUUUUUUUUCAACCAACUAAUAAAAAAUUACAAGAAAAGUUGAAAAUUCUUCUUGAAGAUAAAAAAGAAGAUGAUUGAUUGACAACAAAAUAGAAAGAAAUUGAAGAUUUUGUGGAAUUACUUGCAAAGAGAGAAAAGAGAAAGAAUAGGAUUGAAAUUCAAGGAAUUGGACAAGUACCUAAAAUUCAAGUACCUACUUCACAAUCAACAGUACCUAUUAUCCAAACUCCAAGGACUACAUCAAAGAAAGAAGAUAUGGGAUUUGAAGAGAUUAUACAUGGAAUGCAAGAUCUUCAAAUCAAACUUAUAGGACUUGAGAAGAAGACUUCUACAAUAAGUUCAAAGGUUGUUUCUAAGCAAGGAUAUAUACAAAGAUGUAUUUGGUGUGAUGAUGAUUUUCAUUCUGAAAAAGAUUAUAGUGAAUUCAAUGAAAUAUUGUAAUGAGAUAUUAUUUUUUAAAAAGAUGGAAAUGUGGGGUUUAAGGAUAUUGAUAAUCUUUUUUAAAUCAACUUUGAUAAAAAAAAUAUGAAAGUAUUGAUUGAGGAUUAUUUAGUUAUGUAUGAAAUUAUAGUAAUGAAUGCUACAAGUUAUGGUACUAGGAUGGAUGAUGAUGACAAACAAGAAUUUUUUAAAAAUAUUGUACCAAGUAGAUUUUGGUCUUCUAUUAUUUCUAUAAUGUAAAAAAAGAAGAUGCCACAGAAAGCAUUGUUAAGAACUACUAUUACAAUUAGUGGAGCUACAAGUUGAGAGGAUCUUAAAGAAACUUUGUCAGUGCAUGCUUAUAUUUUUAAAAACCAACAUAAAGCUUUAAUAGAAAAAAAAGAAGACGCAAGAAUCUUAGGACACAAGAAAAAGAAGUACUUCCAAGAGACAAACUUGAAGAGAAAAGGCUUGUGAGAUGGCUUUACAAGAAUUAUUGAUGGAAGAUGCUUUGAUAAUAUUGAAGGAAAAAUCAAAAGAUAUAAAAAAUAAAGAUAAAUUAUCAACAUAUAAAUUACUCUCUGAUAUUGAAAAAAUAACAAAUUUAAAGAAAGUACUUGAGGAAUGUGUGCUCAAUACGAAGGUUGAGUUCACAUUGAAGGAGAUUUUGAGAAUUUCUAAAAAAAAAAAAUCUAUAAUAUCAUUAUUAUUUCUAUAUGUAUACGUUUGGUUUUUUCAAGUAAAGAUAUAUCUUAUUUUUUGACAAAGUCUUUGUUUAUAAAACAGAUUGAGGCUCUUGAAUCUAAUAAGGCUAAGACUUUGUAAUUUUUUGGUCCUAAAUAAACUUCUAUUGUAAAAUAAGAUAAAGAAUUUGAAGAAAGAAUAAAACUUUUAGUUGAAAUUAUACAAGAUUCAAGUUGUACAAUCUCUAUUGUAGUUGAAAAAACUCACCUUAUGAUACAUUGUCCUCUUUGGCAACCAAGCUCUUUAUUUUGUGAUUGCAUUACUUCCUUGGAUAAUAUUGAGUAGUAUGCUUGGAUUCUCAACAAUACAUGCAUAGAUUUUUUUAGCAAUGGCAUAUCUUUUUAUGCUUAAUAAGAGGUUUAAAAUGUACUAUGUCAAUUUGUAUAGGAUGUGGCUUGGAUAAGCUUCUAAAAACUUAAAAAAUAUUGCUAUGACUUGACUUGUACUUCUUUCAACCAAAUCUUUAUUCUUGGCAUCUUUUAAAGAAUUGAUUAUUAUAUAUAAUGGCUUGAGCAAUAAUUUAUUUUAAUGAAUCUAUUCUCAAUAUUAUCAACAAUAAAUCUUUAGCAUUAUCUUUUAAUCCAUGUUGAAACUAAUUGAUAAGGACUUUUCUAUUCCAAUAUAUAUCACAAGUAAGAUUUUAUAAUUCAAUAGUACAUAUAAGAGCUGAGCAUAAUCUUUGCCAAAGAAAUAUGAGCUUAAUCCUUCUUAUCCUUUUGUGAUUACUUUUUCCAAAUAGAGCCAUAAAUACUUUUAAGAAUGAAUUCAAAUCAUAGAAAAGUUGUGAAUCUUUUUUCAUCAAAGAGGCAAACUAAAAGAGAACACUUUUAGAUAGAAAUGUGCCUAUAAAACCAACUUGAAUAAAUCCAUUGGAGUAUUGGAAAAUUUUCAAUUUUAUAUAGAGCUUAAUUUAUUGCAAAAAUCUUUGAAAUUUUGAUCUUGUACCAUUAAACUUCUGAAGCAUACUAAUCCUUGCAUUUCUUGUACUUGUAAAAGCAAAACUUUCUGAAUUUGGUUGUAAUGCUGAUCUACUUGCUUCUUUCAAUUGUACAACUUCUUGGUAUAGAAUUGGAUUUCUUCUAUAUGUGUAAAAAUAGAUCUUUUAAAGUUAAUAUUAGUGAUGUAUAAAACUUUUAUCUUAAGAGUGUUGACAAGCUUUUAAAGAUAUUGAAUAGUUGCAUAUCUAUGCUUACUUCUACUAAAAAUAGCAUCCAUGAUUUUUUCUUCUAUAGAUAAUUCAAACCAAUUGAAAAAUUAAAAUAGAUGAGCAUAAUCCAUACUUUCUAAUAUCAAAUGAAAAUUUUGACAAAGAGAGGUGAUUUUCUUUUUUUCUUUAAAAAAUCAAUAUUAGAAGAUUAAAUUAUUUGUUUAAAGAUGAAUAGUUUGCAACCUUCAAAAUAUAACAAUAGAAGUAGAAUAAUCCACUCACUUCUAAAACCAAACAAGAAUAAUAAUUUUAUAUUUUUAUUAAACUAUAAAGAACAUAAAUCUCUAAGAACUAAAUCAUCAAUACAUCCUUGUAUCACUCAAAAAGAUUAAAAAAUCAGUCAAAGAUAGUAUAAUAUUAAACUAGAAUGGCUAUUGUUAAAGAUAAAAAGAAUAUAAACUCUUGAAAUGAGACUAAAAAUAAGAAAUACAUUAACAAGAGUGAAAUAAGCUUUAUUCUUACUUCCAUAUAUACUAUUUAACUAAGAGCUAUGUAGUAGUAUUUUAUAAGUCCUUUAAUAUGUGUUAACUUUACAAGAUAUGUAUCUUAACUUAUAAGGCAAGUUUUUUAUAUAGGCGCCAUCUAAUUAGCUUGUUUCACAAGCUACCAACAAGUAUGACACUUGGUUAAUUUCUUGACUAAAUUUUUAAUCUAUCAAUUAGUUACAAAUAUAUAUAAAGUCAAAACCACAUCUAAGAAAUCUAAAUUAGAAUAAACCUCCAUUUGUUGGAAGUUUAUUCUAGUUCACAAUAAAUAAAUUGACUAUUUAAUUCUUAGAAAUUUUAUUUUUUAUUUAAAUCCUAAUCAAAUUACUCUUAACUUCCUUAAAUCACCUACAUUGUCAUAGUAUAUGUUGUUUUGUUUGGAAAUGCAUUUAGCACCUGACUAUAGAAGAUGAAGUUAUAUUUUAUAAGUAUCUAAGAAAUCCUAAUAGGUUUCAUCUAUAUAAAAAAAAAUUAAUUCGAAUUUAAAUUCAAAAUUUCUUAAAAUCAAUACAAAGUAUUCAAAAAUAUUCUUUUAGGUAACGUUAAUUAUACACAAACUCCAAUUGCCUUAUUGCUUUCAUAAUUACGUAAUUUUGAUUUUUAAUUGUAAGUCUUAAUCCUAGUCAAUGAGCUUUAGUAAGUUGUAAUUUCUAAUUUGACUAUCCACUUGGUACAAAAUUUUGCACAAAAAUACCAUUAUAAGACUUCUAUAUGCUUAAAAAAAUUUAGUCCAAUACAACUUACAAAUUGUGAAAAAACAUCCAAAAAACUACACUAAUGUUAUUUAGCUGCCAACUCAAAAGUUGAUACAAAUGUCCCAAUAGUAAUUGGAUUGGAGGUUAUUAUAUAUUAUCUUCUCCAAUUUAAUUGUUAUUGAGAAGAUCAAAAACUAUUCUUUGUAUAUACCUUUUAUUACUAUGCAAUUCCUUGUGUAUAUAAUAAUUAAGAAGAAUGGCUAAUUCUCAUGAGUCGAGUGCUAAUAAAAAUGUGAUCUUAAUAUUGAGGUUCUACUUGCUAAAUUAAUUGUAAAAAUUACCAAUUCAAGAGUAUUUUCUUGCUGAAUUUUUAAUUAUGCUUACAAACUACAACCUACAUAGAAGGAUACUACAAGUAGCUGAUUUUAAUUCUACUAAGGCAAUAAUUAUUUCUAGCACUAGAUCAACUUAGAUUUUGGAUUUAUCAUCAAAACAUCUCAACAUAAGACAAUGUGUAUUCCAUGAGCUAGUUGAUAAUUUCUACCUAUGGCAAUACUUGUUAAAAAAAUGUAUGGCCUCUCAAUUUGUUGAAGUUAUAUUGGUACCAUAUCUUAUUAUAUUGAUAGUACUGUCAACAAGCAAAUAGAAGAAUGACAAGCAUAAAGUGCUCUCAAGCACUUAUUGACUUAUCCUUGUAGCUCCACACUCCAAGUCUAAGACACAAUCUUAAUGUUGUCAUGAUGUAAUAUAGCUGAUAUGUGAAAAAGUGAAAAAAAUAUUAUAUUUUAGAAGAUCUUAUUUCAAAAUAUUGUAGCAAACUAUCUUAGAAAUAUAGAUAAUAGUCAAAAUAUAAUAAAUUAAAAGUAAAAAUGUUAUUUUUUUUAUAAAAUAGACUUUUACUUAUUUUGUAGAGCCAUAAAUAAAAAAAAAAUAUAGAUUAAAAAAAUAAAGAAUAUAAGCAUAUGUAAGAAGGAAUUAAGAAUUUAUUUUAGUAAAAAUUAUCUUAAGAAAAUAAAAAUUGAUACUCAAAAAGUAUUAGUUGUCAAUUUGGAUUGAAAUCAAACCUUGAAGAAUAAAACCACAUACCUAUAAUGAUACCAAGAUUUGUUUUACAAAUCAAAGAGUAGUAUUUCUAAGAGCACUUUAUAUGGUUUUUUGAAGCAUUGAUUUCAAGUAAUUUGAGUUUGUAAUGUAUUUGCAAGAGCUUUGCAAAGUCAAGAAUAUUUUAGGUGACUUUGGAUUUUAUAAAAUAAAAUAUAAUCUACAAUUUGAGCAAUUUCAUGAUUUUUAUAGUAGAUCUAUAAUUAAAAUUUUGUGGAAUUGUGAAUAUAGUUGUGCCAAAUGUAUGUUGUGAAUUUGAGAUUUAAUUGGAUGGUUGGAUUAGAGAUUAUUGAAAUUCAAAGGUGGAUUAAGAUCUCAAAAAUUGGAUUUUUAGAUCUUAUAAGGUUAUUUAAAAUAUGCAACAAUUUCCUAAUUGAAUUAAGGUGAUAUUUAUUAUUGUUAAUAUUUGAUUUGACUUCCAAUACGUUUGUAAAAUUUGAGAGUAAUUUAAUGGUUCAAUAAAGAAUUAUUAUUAUUAAAAAAAUCAACAUUAAGAUCAAAGAUGGAAGUCUACUAACACCCAAGUGGAUUUUGACGUUUUUCUCCCAUUUUGUAAGUUUGAUUUUUUUUUCAAAUUUAUUGUUCUUAUUGUAAAUUAAGAGAUUGAGAGGCGUGUUAAAUUUUAAAUAAGAUCAAUGGUUUAAUCAAUAGAUAUUGAGAUUUUAAAAUUUUCUUAGGAUUGAUUUGAAUUUGUUAGGUUUCUAUUAGGAUUGAUUUGAAUUGCUUAGGUUUUGAUUAGCAUUUAUUUUAAAGCUGAUUAAGAUUUGAUUUAGGAUUUGAUUAAAAAUUUAGGAUUUAAUUAGGAUUUAUUUAGGAUUUAGGAUGUAAUUAAGAUCGGAUUAAGAUUUAGAAUUUUUUUGAAAUUCUUAAGGAUUUUUUUAAGGUUCUUAUAGAUUUCUUUAGGAUUUUUUUAUUAUUUAUUUUUGAUUUCUUUAGAAGUUUUGUAGGAUUUCUUUAUAUUUCUUUUAUAAUUCCUUUGAAAAUUUAAUUGAGCAUGAUCAAUAUUUGAUUAUAUUUGUUAAUCUUUAAUUAUAUUUCUAUUAGAAUUGUUAAGACUUAUUGUUGUAAUUUUCUUUUACCUUCCACAGUCAUGUGCUCAAUGCAUUCUCAAGCAAGAUUUCACAUAAUACAACAAUGCUAUCAAUAUGACUUGAUCAAAAAAAUUACCAACUUACCUUUGAACUCAAGCCGCAUCAAACUAUAAUCUUAAGAAAUAUAAUUUAUUAAGUCAUAGAAGAAUGUCAGGCCUAAUUUGACCAUCAAAUAUCCACACAAGAAAUCAUCUACCAACUAAUUGCAUCUGCUUGAUGUCAAUGCAUUAUUCACUCAAAGAAAAGGAAGAACAAGAAUUUUUAUGAUUUUAGUAAUAAAUAAUAUCAUUCAAAUCAACAAUAACAAUACUAAUCUAUUACAUCAUUGUCAUAUGGCGUGAUUUGCUAUCUGAGAAUACACUGGGUAUCUAGUUGUAGAGAGUGUAGCUUAAACCUUUAUAUGAAUCUUAUCUUAGCUUCCAAAACUCCUUUAUUUUGCAUAAAACUCAAAAUAUAAUAAAAUCCCUUCAAAACAUAUUUUUUCUGUGAAGGAUUUUCUCUUCCCGAACUUUAGAAAUUCAUAACUCUUGAUCUAGCCGUUUAGUUUGUUACAAAUUUAUAGGAUAGGUAGAAUUCACCCUUAAUUUUUACCUAAAAAAAAUCAACCGCAAAUUCACUUCCGAUCUUUUGACAUCUAAGAAAUCCUAGAAAACACUCUAAACCCUAAUUUACAAGUAUCCGAGCACUAUUUUCUUAAUAUCUCAAGAACCCAAUACUCAAAUAUCAUAAAACUAAUUUAUAAAAUUUACUUACAUGAAAUUACAUAUUUCCUGAAAUUUUGAGCCAAAACCUUAUCAAAUUGCUCAAGAUAUAGCUCAAGAGACAACCACUAGUAAAUCGGGUCACUUACUACCCUUAGAUUGCAUGCGCUGACUUCAAAAUCUAAUAACUCCUUCAGUUCAACUUAGAAUCCACUAAGCAGUAUGUAAAAAGUGUAGCCGCAAAAGUGCUCUCUCUAGUCACAAUUGCCGAUCCUCAAUUUCUAUCCGUACGCGUGCGUUAUGCCAAAAAAAGUGACAGUAGCUCCCAAAUCAACACCUUAACUUUGAGUGCUUGUAUCUCCUUCAUAUAAAUUCCAAACCAUACAAAACUUGCACCAAAACCAUAGCCAAAAAUUUAAACUUGCUGCAUCUAGCCUUCAAAGCUCGAAUGGCUCCAAAAACUAAUCCUAAUCUAUAAUAUGGCCUCAGGCAGCCUCCUCAAAGCCCAUUGGUCAUGAUUUUUGACCAAUAGGAAUGGAGAUUUUCAUCAUUCAUCUCCAUUCAUCUAUAUUGGUACCCUAAUUACUCCCUUUGCUACCAAAACCCUUCUUCAAUCCUUUUUCUUAUAAGAUUUUCAUAAUUUAUGCUCUAAAUAUCAAAUAAAAGAACCAAAAUAAGUUUUCAAAUGUCACCAAUGUCUAGCAAAGGUGACUCUAAAUAUUUAGAAGUUAUUAUCAACCAAAACCAAUCUUUAAAGUGACUAUCAAAAGGAAAUUAAAGUUAUACAAAUUCUAUAGUAAUCUUUUUAAACAACCUCUUCUUAAAGUAAUAAUCAAAUUAUAUUCUACAACCAACUAAAAUCUACUAACAUGACUCUCACCAUGUUACUUAAUGAAUUAUAUAUUAAGUACAUAAUUACAUUAUUUUUAUAUAGUAGCGGAACCACAACACGACACUGUGAUGACAACAAUUGUUAUAAAAGCAAUAGUAAAAAUAAAAUAAAAAAAUAAAAAAUAAAAAAAUGGUGCUAUCUAGAGUAUCAUACCAAAGCAAUAGGUCUACUAAUCAAACAAACUUAAUAAUCUGAACACUUGGUUAUAAAGCUAUAAUAAUGGCUUCUACCACUACCAUGCUUAAGAAAAAUCCAAAAUACGAUGUUGAAUGUAGAACUUGGAAUAUGAGGAAAAAACCAAGAAAAAUAAUUUAUACAUACACACACACAUAAACACACACACAUAAACACACACACACACACAUAUAUAUAUAUAUAUAUAUAUAUAUAUAUGACAAUUUUUAUAGAAUCAUUAGUAAUAAAACACAAAAUUAUUGCACCCCUUGCUUAAGAGAGACUUCACACCAGCUCACAACAUUGCCACAACAACAAGUUGAUAACAAAAAAACAUGAAUCAUUGCUUUAGAACAUUCUAAGAGCUCUACAACUUAAGAAAAGAAGCAAAUACUACAUAUAGUCAAUAAAAAUGUGAAAACAAUACACAACAAAUUUUCUUAAUGAAGGAACAUCCACGCUGAUAAAAAUAUUGAAGAAAACCAAAAACCAAAAGAAAGAAGAUGAAAAAUGAGGCCACAUUUUAAUGUGGAUAAUGCCUUGAUUCUAUUAGGCCAACUCUCUAAUAACUCCAAAACUCCAUCUGCACCUCUUCCAACAAAAAUUCUAAAUCAAAGUGAGUAUGAAGGAAAAGAAAACCAACCACCAUGAUAAAUCAUAUUAGCCGCCUUAAUCUUAACUGUGUUGCAGUCACCAAAACGAGCAAUUACUUAAAGAAAAAAUAAAAAGAAAAAAACAUGAGGUCCAACAACAACUUUGAUCUUUUUUCUGCAAUGCUGCAGCAAUACAUCCUUGAAAAACCAUAAGAAAAAAUAACAGAUCCACACACUUGGAGGUGCAUCUCUUACAAACACAAAAAAUGGAAAAAAAAAAAAAAAAAAAAAAAAAAAGGAUUAGAUUCAGAACAAUCCAGAAUCUUAUCGGCAAGGAAGCUGCUACCAUUCAAAAACAACCUUUUUUUUUCUUGAUCACCCUUCUAUUUUUAUUCUAUAUAUAUAUAUAUAUAUAUAUAUUCUUUUCUUUUCUUCUAUCUUGAUUUCUUUCUCUUUUCUUGUUUUUUUUUUUUUCUUUCUUCUCUAUUCUACUCUAUUUUUCUUUCUAUUCUUUUGGUUUUAUUUUUAUUUUUACUUUUAUUUUUUAAUUUUAUAUAUAUAUAUAUAUAUAUAUAUAUAUAUAUUAAGAACUAUUAAUAAUUUUUUUCUUUUAACUAUAAGACUAUUUUUAUUAGACCAUCAUCUAAUAUUAGAUACCAAAAACAUAUCUACCAUAAAAAUUUAUCUUAACAAAUUCUACCAAAGACUGCAUAUUGGCUAUAAGUAAUUUGUUUUCUAUUUUUCCUAAAAAUUCUACUACUAACUUACUUAACCUGUGAUUUUAUGCACAACAAGUGCAUUUUUUAUACUAAAUAUCCAAGUAAGUCAAUUUAAUGUUUUAUAUAAAGCUUUUAGAAAGCUUCUCUAGAAGAUAUUAUAAAAUUAACCUACUUUUACUUACUUCUACUUAAUCAUACAAGUAAUCUUUGGAGUAAAUAUAUAAGUUCAUGACACAACAUUCUUUAGGACUUCUAUACAUAUCCAACUUGUAGAAUUUAUAUCUAACAUUUAAACUAAGUUUCUUAUAUGUAUGUUAUAUGGCCAAUGUUUUAGCCAAAUUUACAACCUAUCAAUCAUCUAUAAACAUAUAUAAAGACAAAUCUGCAAGAUAUUAUCAAAUUUAUUUAUUUUUGUUUAUUUCCGCAUAAUUCUUUUUAUUUAGGUAAUUAAUGGUGUUGAUGAUAUCAAUGACAAUAAAUAAUUUUUUUAUUUAUUAUAAAUUAAAGAUAAUAUUUUAAAAUAUUUUAUUUAUUCAAAAUUAUUAUUAUAUAUUAAAGCUUCUUUUUUAAAUUGAAAAAAUAAAUUUUUAAUAUUUUUUUAUAAAAUUUAAUUUUUUUGAUAGUUAAUUUAUAAUUUUAAUACUUUAUUGAUGUAUUAAAUCAAACGUCUGAAUUAUUAUUUAUUUAAUUUUUAUCUAUAUAUCUUUAUUAAUAAAAAAUAUUUUAAUUUUAUAUAUUUAUAUUCAUAUUUAUAAAAUAAUACUAGUAGUAUUUUUAUAUUAAUAAUAAAUCUAUACAUUAAAAUUUCUUUAUAAAACUUUGUAUAUAAUAAAAUUAAACUAAAAAUAUAUGUCAUGAAUAUACAUGUCAAAAGUAGUAAUUAUUGAGAUAAAAGGAAUUAGGUAGAAGUAUAAAAAAGUAUGUAAUUUGAUAGUAUCUCGUAGAUAAGCUUUUUAGAAACUUCAGACAUGAAUUUGAUUUUACAAAUCUUUAUAGGUAAUUGAUGAAUUGAAAAUUUGGCUAAUAAGUUUGCUACAUGUUGUACAUGUUGGCCACUUGUUUUAUAAGUUUGCCUUAUAUUGCACAUAUUGCCCACUUGUGGUACAAGUUGGCCAUGUGGCACACAUAUUGGAAACUUGCCUUGCAAAUUAGACACAUGUUUCAAAAAUUGGACAUGUGUCAAAUAUCUUAGAAUGUCACAUAGUUCUUAGUUAGAUGGUAUAUAUAGAAGCAAAGAUUAAGCCUUCUUUAGUCUUGUCAAUACAUUUUUUUGUCCUUAGUUUGUUUCAAAUACAAAUAAUAAUAUAAUAAGAUGUAUAAAGAUUUUUUUUGAAUUAAUAAAGCAAUACAAUACCAAUCAAAUUAAAAAUACAUUAAUAAGACAAACACAACUUAGAAUUCUAAAAAAUGAAAACUAAAGCUAUUUCAAAUUGUCUUUUAAAAAGUAGUUAGAAUUUGGAACUUGGCAAAUUAUUACAGAUUUUUAAAAUAUAUAUAUAUAUAUAUAUAAGUUAAUUUUUUACAUAUUAUGAAUUAAUUUAAUAGUACAAGAGAUUCUUUCAAAUUACAAGAAAUUCUUCUAAAUUUUUGUCACAAAAUGGCAAUAACACUCUUACAAAACAUGAAAAAUAUUGAAAAAAAAAUUGUUAAAAUUUUGUGGGAUAAUUACAAUCCACAACAUUAUGAUGUCAAAACUUGGUAUCAAUUUAAUAUGAACAAUCUUGACCCAAGUUGGAUGUAGCUUGUCUUUCUGUAGAAACCCUAUGACUUGGCAUCAUCUUGGAAUGAACAAUCUUGACCCAUGCUGGAUGUACCUCUUCCCCCUGUGGGAAUCCUAAUCCUAAAACCUGGCCUGCUGAUCUCGGUCACUUGCCCUGCUUGCGAGAUCCGGAGUUCGGCAGAACUUCUCUAGAAGGAAAACAAGUCAUCAAUCAGUUUUCGAAACGUAGUGCACUUGGUCGAUAACGCCGAAGGCGAUUUGGGAGGUGACCUAAACGACUAGAAGUACAAUCACUUUGUAGGAUUUGUUGAAGAGUCAUCCAGACUGCAAUUCGCAGAAACACUUUUCGCGUCCCUGGAGUUCGACUCUCAAAACCACACACAAGUGAAGCAUAUGCUGAUUCACAUCAAGGUAUUUGUGGAAAAAAAUAUCGCGCGCUUUCAAUAGAGCUCUAUCAUUGCAGUGUGUUGAAAAUAGAACUCGUCGUUGUUGGGGAUAAGUGUGCACAUGUAAAGUGAUACACUCCUGAAUUGGCUUCUGGUUUAGGAAUCAUUCAAUGAAAUUGCAGCGGGAGCGUCAUAUCCCGAUGUGCACAGAACAGGAAUAUUCCAAUCCUAUCUGGUGCUGUUAAGGCAAAUAGGUGUCGACAACUUGGCACAAAAAGCAGCUGAACUAUCACUAUACUAUCCGUUUUAUUGGCCAAAUGCAACAUGUGUCGGAUGGUGAAGAUAGAGUCUGCCUCGUCAGCCACCUCCUUUAUCGACUGCACAGAAUGUUCCUACAGACGUGGCAUGCAAGACAAGUGGGAAUGCAAAUGUCUACAAGUGGAUGCAUCUUUCCAGCGACCUCUUCCUCAUGGCAGGACCUAAGCAACUUUUUGUUAUUAUGUGAGAUAAAGUGAAGCUUCUCACAUUUAUAGUAUAUCGAUCAAUUCCACAAUUUUUAAAAUUCGUUAAUAGUUCAUAUCUUCAAAACUAAGAAGUUAUAAGGGUUAGUAAGAAGUUAAUGUAAUGAAUAUUCAGGUAGGUUGUAUUUAGCUCCAGCUUAUAACGUUCGUGCUGGGCAGGCUAGCUUGAUCAAUUCGAUUCAAUGUAAUGUGUCCUUCGUGCCUACCCCAAUUGUUUCAUCACCGUAAUUUCUAUCAACGCAGUAAUGGAGCCGCGCUACAAGCUGUGGACAGCUCGAGCAGAAUUGCAAAAUAAGGGCAGUUGCCGAAUAGUCUCAUCAAAAACAAACUGCUAAAUAUUCAACAAGUAGUAUUUUUGAGUACUUGGGAAUUCACAUGUGAGCUUCGUUUUCAGGUGCGACAGUAUGACAGUUCCUAGACAUCAAUACCCUGUAGAAAACUCGAACUAGCUGAGAAGUAGAUGCGAGAGAAGAAGAGCUUUUGAUUGAAUUCCGAAUUUCAUAAAAAUGCCAACAGUUAGGCACAAGCUUUACUACGCCUGCCAUGUACACAAGGAUGAACUGCAAUACACUCAGACCUCUUUUCAUAUGCACAAGGUCAGAGUUGUAUUAUUUGACAAUGCACAAGUCCUCCCUCUUCAACUCACAAGUGUCUACAUUUCACAUUGACACAUACCACAUUGUGCGGAUGAUCAUUGGGGAUUUUAAGACAAAGAUAUAUCAGAGGUGUAAGUGUACCGAACUAAUUGAGGAUGUGCAUCGGUUAUACACAAACUAAAGUCUAGGUAAGGCUACGCAAGAACUCAGCAGCGGUGGCAAUGGCACCACCAGUAAUAGCUCCACGUACGAUUCGGUCACUGCGGGGGUUAGCCUCAGUCAAGGAUAAUGCAGCUCCAGUCAAGGCUCCUCCCAACAAUGCGUUUUUCUGCACCAAGUAAGGCAAAAUUAUCAUGUAGUUCAAAGGACCAAUGUAGACAUGUUGCCGAGGGAACUUAACAUUCCACUGUAAACAUUAGUAAGGAAAAACACAUACACGUCUAAUUAUGGGCCAAAAGCUAAGCAUAACUAGAGACGUGUUUGUACCCAGUCAUGGACACCACGAGCCUCUUGCAUCCCGUAUGUCAUGCCGGUGUAGACUCCGGCAACGAGUCCCCACUGCACUGCCUCCUUGCCCAUACGUUGUACAGACAUCUCCAGCGACUUCUUGUUGGUUUCCUCUGUACAUGACAAACCUCAGUCAAAAAACAGCCUUUUACAGCUCAAGGUAAAAAUAAGGUGAAACCAUCCCCAUUACCGACGUCCACACCCAAGGUGGAAGCUGAGGACGCAACUAUGUGCAUACACUGCAAAAAGUAUGAGCUAGACAGGCAGGUAACCACAUACAUGAGAAGAAUACAGCCAAUACCUUGUAACAAGAAUCGGGAGGCAUCUUGAGAAGCAGCAUGUAAAGCUCCAACUCCACCAACCUUAACGAAUCCGUCAACAACACGGUUCAACAUAGGGUGACCCAAGUCGACCAAAAAGUCAACAUGGGCAGGUUCGAAGGAAGCAUUCACGUGAGCCCUUGACAUCCUGAAGGUCUGCAAUUCCAGAUCGCCUCAAUCUUAGUUAACUCAAAACAUAAUAUCCAAUUCCCAAUCCCACUUCACAAACAAACAACAAUGCAAAGCUCAAAGGUUAACCGCUCCACCUACACUUGCGAAUAUACACUUCCCAACCGACUAUCGCUUCUUAACUCGAUCUCAAGAGUAUCCAAAUUUACCAACUUCAAGACCGCAAAUCAGAAACGUAAUCAAACCCAUUACCGCACACACUCGAACACCCACAACCCCAAAGUCUCUUGCACCCAGCACUACACUGAAAACUAGAAACUGGUCUUCUAAAGCCGUCCCAUAUCCAACCCACCUUCAGAAUUCCUGCUAAAAACACACAAACACUUCUCAGCUAAAAUACCUAACCACGGAACAUGAAAUCACGACACCGCAGAUGGAGUGGGAUACCUGAGAGAUCGAAGAGGAGAAGGAAGACAAACAACAAUGGGGGUAACAGGGACGCAGGACAAAGUUAUGUAGGAAUGGGCGACGGAUAUAGGGUGGGGUGUGAAGGGGCCAGGCCACGGCCACACAGCGAGGCGUGGCAAACCCUUUACGUGUUGCCCAGCCUUACGGCCGCGUGUAAACCGGGGACUCUAUUCAGGAUUGUAAGUUCGACACUUGGCAGCUCCCAGGCUCUCUCUCUCUCUCGCUCUCUCACUCUCACCUUCAUUUGCUCUUUGGAACUUCAAAGGUUACGGUGGUAAUCUUACAUUUUUAGAAAGCCCCCUCUUGAUGUGGCUCAAAACGUUGAGGGCUAACGCUGUUGGGGGCUUAUACUAGGUGGAUGGUGGUUGAUUGGAAUGGUGAUUUGGGUAAGAUUCAUAAAAAAUAAAAAUAAAAAAUGUUUGGUCAUGUUUUACAAUUAAAUGAAAAAAAAAAAAACUUAUUAAUUAUUAUGUUGAUUUCAUUUUUUUCCCUUUUUUUUUGGUGAGUUUAAAUAUGUUGUUUAUAGCCCUUUAAAAAAUACUCAUUUUGUCAAAAAGGUCACUUAAACUUUAAAAUAUGACUUUGGAUGUGUAAUAUCUUGGUAGAAAAAUAUAGAACAAGAUAGUUUGUUGCCAUAGAAACCUAAAAUGCCAAAAAUAAUUUUAUUUGAAAGCAUUGGUGAGAAUUUUCAGAUUAAAUAUAAAACAUAAAACACAAGGUUAAAUGUAAAACACAAAAUACAUAAUUUUAUUGUUAAGGUUCUUAAUUUUUAGAGAUUAAGUUGUAAAUUGCUUUUAACUUAACUUCUUAAAAGUGAGAAACUUGUAGAUUUUUUUUAAUAUUUAUAUAAUAUGAGUAUAAAAGCCUGAACAUCUAAUCCAUAUUAUUCUAAAGAAUUUAUUUGUAUUUAAUUAAUUGAAAAAAUCAAAAAAUUUAAUUAAAAUUUGAUUUUUUAUAUUUAAUAAUAUAUUUAAAAUGUAUAUAUGCAAAUAAAUAUAUUUUUUUAUUUAUAUUAAUAAUUGAAGCAUAAGAAGAUAAUUUAAAACUCUUUAGAAUAUUAAACAUUUGAUUAUGUUGAUUUCUCUAAGUUUGAUUAUGAGGCUUUCUUGUUUAUUAUAAAACUUUUUUUAAGCAUUGAUUCUAUUCUUUAUCAUCCUCCAACAAUUCCAUUUCCAAGCAUACCCUUUUAAAAUUUGGUUAUAAUAUUUUAUUUAUAAUACUUGAAUUUACAUAUGAAUAUGGUCUAUAUACUAUUAUUAAAAGAAGUUGAAGAUAUAAUCUUUCUCCCACAAUAGGAUUAGCAAAAUAUAACCUUCCAAUUGCAAAUCCAUGUUGUCUUAUUGUCCACAUCUUUGAGGUCUUAUUUCAUACAAAAUGUUAUGGAAGCUCUUCAUACAUGUAUUGCAAAGAAAUCUCUAUAGAUUCAUACAUUUCAAAAAAUGUUGUCAAAGUUGUUUUUUGCCACUCUCCAUAAUGUUGUGUUUUGUAAAAUUUGCUUGAAAAUACAUUGGACAACUAACUAUAGAAGAUAAAAUAGAACUUGCAAUAAGAAGAUCACAAUAAUUUUAAUAGAAUUCUAAAAAAAUUCUAAUUAAAUUAUAAUAAUUCCAUCAAUUUUUAAUUAAAUCUCAAAAGAAGUUUCAAAGAACUUGCAUGAAAAAAAUCAAAAAUAAAAAAUAAUCUGAAAAGAAUAUAUAUAAUAAAGAAAUCCUAAAGAAAUAUCAAAGAAAUCUUUAAAAAGACUAAAAAUAAAAAUCCAAAUUGAAUCUUUAACACAUUCUUUUAAAUUCUAACAAAUCUUAAUGAAAUCCCAAAUCCUAAUCUUAGACCAAACUCUAAUAAAAUCCUAAUGAAAUCUUAACUAAAUCCUAAAACAAACUUCAAUCAAAUCCUAGUCAAAUCCUAAUCAAAUCCUAAAUCUUAAUCCUACACCAAAUCUUAAUAAAAUCCUAAAUCAAUCUUAAUCAAUUUUUAAUUAAAUCCUAAUCAAAUUCUAAAUCAUAAUCAAAUCCUAAUUAGAUCUUAAAUAUCUCAAGAAAAUCCUAAAUAAAUCUUAAUAAAUUACUAUAGCUAUUUGAAAUCUUAAUAAUUACUAAUACAAAAACUUUUAUAACCUUCAAUCUAAGCAGUUGAUUGAUAUAAAAUCUCACAUGUCUUCAAAAAUUAGUCAUACUAAUUAAGUGACAAAUUAAGUGACAAAUUAAGUGACAAAUUUUCAUCCAUAAAUUAAUUGACAAAUUAAUUGACAAAUUAAGUGACAAAUUUUCAUCCAUAAUGCCAUACUAAUUUUAAUACCAUACUAAUUAAGUGACAAAUUUUCAUCCAUAAAUGUAUUGCAAAAUUUUCAAAAUUAUCAAAUUUGAGAAUGUCUAUUUAUUUCAUAAAAUCCAAAUCCACAUAAUACAUCUCUCAGUUUGGAAAGCUCUCAAAACCUCAAUAUAUCUUCAAAUCAUAUAAAAUUAACUCUUAAAAAUCUUUUUACAAGCCCGCUCCCAAAUUCCACUCUUCAAUUAAAAAAAGAAUCCUAAUGACAUUGUAGGUGCAUAGAUUUGUACCUCACGGUUUGAUUUCAACCUAUGUUCAUAACCAAUCUUCUACAUAUAUCAAUAUUUAGUAUUUUGAGUUAUUUUUUUAAAAAUCUAUUUUUAAUUUCUUCCUAAAUAUAUCUAUAUUAAUUAUAUAUCUUAUUUAUUUUGAUUUAGCUCAUUUAUGCUUCUAUAAAAUAAAUAUAAGUCUCGUCUAAAAGAAAGAAAUAUUAGCACUUAUUAAUUUUUACUACUUUCUUGUCUAUUAUUUAUAUUUCUAAGAUAAUUUGCUAAAAUAUUUUCAUUUAAGCUCAUCUAAAGUAAAAAAUUAUUCUUUUAUUUCACCUAAUAGCUAUAUUAUUACAUGACAUCUAUCUUAAGACUUCAAUUGCAUCAUUAUUUGAAUAAAAAAUUAUUUGAUAUAUUUUAAGAAGAUAUAAUAACGAUUGAACCACAUUUGAAACUUCUUCAUUCAUUUUUAUUUCAAAUAAAUACCAUAUUACCUUUGGAGCUCUAAUAUAAUAUGCAUUAAUAUAUUGCUUGACUUCAUCUUCCUCAUUUUUAAUUUGUAUUGUUAUACAAUUAUGCUCUCUAUAGAUAUAUUUGUGAAUAUAAUUCAUAGCACAAAAUAAAGUACAAAUAUCAAUGUUGAUAUGUCAGUUAUACCUUCUAUUAAGAAUAAGAUUGUAUGAAACAAUAUUUUAAUUGUCUAUAAUAUGAUUUCUUACCUUAAAAGUUCUCCCAUCAUUCAUUCUAUGAUAUUGGAAAUAGCCAUUACCAUCCAUUAAUGUUAUUUUUUAAUAUUCUUUUAAAUAAUAUUUUUAGCAUAUUUUAUCCAUCAUGCAUAGAACUUGUAUAUUUCAAGGUCCACAUAGACAAUGAACCAUGUGAGUAUUAAUUGUCUCAAAUAAUAAUAGAUCUUUAUUUAUUUAUUUUUAAAAAUCCACACAAAAAAUCUUAUCAAUAUUGACCAAAUUUUUUAUUUAUCUUUUUUAUUCAAAAAAGAAUUAAAAGAAUAUAUAUAAAAGACCUUGCUUUUAAAACUUAAUAUUAUACACUCUUAUAAGUGCAUGUUUUAAAAUAUAAUAUUUAUAAACAUCUUCAAUCAAUACACAAUACUUUAAUUUAAAUACUCAUACCACCUAAUUGGGACAAUCCUUAAACUUUUAUCCUAGAAGGAGUGCACUUGAUAUUUUUGUCUACCAAAGAUUUGUAGUUAUUGUAUAAAAUAUAUUUAGAUGUUAAAAAUAUCAAGUAAUUGCCAUAGAAUCUUUAAAAAUUUCGAAUAGAUUUUUUAUACUUCUAAUAUGAGAGAAUGAAACAAUUAACUUCUUCAUUAGAUUUUGCAUGUCAAUUUUUUGAAUUUGUACAUCUCCAAAAAUAUUUGGUAGUCCUUGAUAUACAUUUGCAUAUAACUUAUCUUGAUUCAUACUAAAGUAUCUCAACCAAUUUUAGAUAGUAAAGUACUUAUUAUAUUAUAAAAAAAGUUGAUAUGAAUAAAAUUUCAUUUGAAUAAUACAUGAAAUUUACAUAUUUUUAUUUCCAUCUUCAUUGGCAUUCUAUCUCUAAGAUUCAUUUGUUAAUGCCAUCUAAAUUUUCUAUAUAAAAAAAAAUAACAUAGUAUAGUGAUAAGUAUGCAAGAUAUCUUUUUUGAAUUCGUUGUAAUGAAUCUCCUCUCUAUUGGACAACUAUCCUUGUUAAUAUAAUUGAUAAAGUCAUUAUUGUGGUUUAAGUUAAAACAAUGCACCAUCAAUGAAAAAUAAAAUAAAUAAAUAAAUAAAAUUUAAAAGUUUAGUUUCUAUAAUUUGAUAGUCUCUUUUUAGUACUAAAUCCUUGUAUUGUAGUAGCAAAAUCAAAACAGCAAUGUAGUUGAAGAACAAUUAAAGAACUUAGAUAUACUAUGAAAAUUUUGCUUGGAUUGCAUAAAUCCUACAUCACAUGGAAUUUCAUAAGCUCAAUUAAGGUUUAUUGUACACAAUAUAGGCUCAAUAAUUUCUUCAAUAAAAACUUAUAUAUAUACAUAUAUGACGUGACUAUAAAUUAUAAAUAAGAAUUAAGUCAAAAUAGAUUUUUAAUAAUAUCUUUUCAAAAAUUCUUGAAAAAACUAGUAUGUUUUGCUCUACCUAGUUAUUACCAUAAUAGUUGAAAAUCCAUAUAUCCUUUUAGUAAGCCCAAGGAUACAAUCUAUAAAGAUAAAGCAAUAAAAAUCAAUAAUAAAAGAUUAUAAAAGAAAUAAUUAAGUUUUACAUUGAAAAUAUAAUUUAUAUAUAUAUAUAUAUAUAUAUAUAUAUAUAUAUAUAUAUAAAAAAAACAAAUCACAAUAUCAAAAUGUGAUGAUAUAAUUCAUAUAUUAUUAAUUUCUAUCUUUUUGAUUAAAGUCAUUUAGUAAACAAUAACAGAAAUAAUAGUAGACAUUUGAACAAUAAUGACAAAGUAUAAAGCAAAAAAAUUGAUGAAUCAAUUCAAAUCUUAUCUAAUUAAUUGGCAUCUAAGUUAUCUGAAUAUGUUUUUACUUUUGAUAUUGCAAUAGCAUUAUUUUCAAAGAAAUGAAACUAGCUACUUGAUAUGGUUCAUCUCUCUAUAAAGAAACAUACAAAGAAUGUUGCCAAUUACUAUGUUAUAAAUUUGUUGCAUCAAAAAACCAACUAAUCUAUUAGAGUGUUGUAAACCAUCCCUAUAUGGAAAAAGAUACAAGCACAAUUAAGACUAAUAAUAUUAUAAUAUUUAAUAGAAUUCAAUAAUGAUAAUAAUAAUUAAUUUUGAAUUAUAUUUUAAAUAAUAUUUUUAUUUUAUUAAUUAUAAAUUUAUUUAUAAGAACAUUUAUAAUGUUGAGAGAGUGAUGUAUAAAGAUAGUCAUGCCUUUUCAAUAAAGAUGUGUCAUUUUUGCAAAGGCACAACUGUUGUCAAUAAGAAUGUGUUGUUUUUGCAGUGGUCGAGUUUGCUUAUUGAUCUAAGAUGCCUUUGUAAGAAAAUUGCAAUAUAGAUCAAUAAUUCGUCUAAGCACGUCAAUCAAUAAAAGAUAAAGGACAAGUUUUGGACUUAACAAAGAUUUUGUAAAUAAAUUGGCUUAUAUAUUAUUAAUAGGGCAAUGGUCAAAUUUAAUUUUUUGUUGAAUUAUGAAUUGUCAAAUAAAGUGAUAGCAUAUGACAAUGUACUUAGUAUAAAAAUGAAACUUUGUUUUAUCCACUAGUACAAGAAAAAAUUGAUUAUUGUAAUGAAUGAUGAUGGUAAUUUUUUAAGUUUUAUCUUGCCAAAGGUUGUAAAGAAGAUGAUAUUAUCAAAUGGAUUUGAAAGAAAUAGUAGCUUUGGCCAUAUAUUUGGCUUUUAUAUUAGAAUGAAUAUUAGAUUAUUAUAUUGUAGAGCACCAACUAACUACCUUUUGAAAAAGAAAAAAGAAAAUAUCCAAAAGUUGAGUGGUACUUGUCCACUUUAUCAACCUAAUUAGCAUCGCUAAAGCCAAAGAAAGGUUGAAGAGAUUUUGGGAUGUGUCGAUAGUCCAAAAUAUAAUUAAAAAUAUUAAAAAUAUAGCAAAAUAAUUAUUUACAUGCUUCAACAUGUUUUUUUCUAGAUUAUAUAUGUAUUGUGCUAGUAUACUUAUUAAAAAUGUGAUGUUGGAUUCAAUGCAAAUGUUAGUGCACUUGAGACUUCCAACAACAUUGAAAUAUGAAAAUACAAAAAAAAUAGAAAUAGAACUUGGUAUUGAAGGACAAUUAGUAGCAAAAAAUUUGAAGCUAGAUGCAAGUAGAGUUGAAACGAGACGUGAUUCAAAAAAUCCAAAUUUUAAUACUUUUUGUUUGACAUUCAAAUCUUGUAAAAUAUAUAGCCAAUCAUAUUACAUCACAUGAAUUUGAUGCUUAAGAUAUGAUAGAAUUUAUUAAAGUUGAAUAACCUAAAUUGAAAUUAGAGUUGAAUUUUCAUUAAUUAGAAAAAAAAAAAAAAAAAAAAAAAAAAAAACUAUUACUUGCAAUCAUGAUAUUAUUUAUAUAUAAAGUAAGUAUAGAAAAAUCGAUUUCUUGGCAAAGAUAGUACAUAUUUUAAUUGAUAAUAGAAUUGAUGAAUCUAAGUGUAGCUAAGAAAACAUCAAUCAUAUGAAAUUAUUUGCAUGGAGAAUAUUUAAGGCCAUAGAGUCUCUUUUGUAGAUGACAAACAAGACUAGGAUAUGGUCAUUGAAUACCAUUAAUGAUGGCUAUGUAGAUUUUUUCUUAGAAUGAGGUAUUGAAAAAAAUUGUUUAUACAUCCAUUUGAUAAAUGUAAAGGUUAAGUUGAAUAAAAAGUGCUAAGUUGAAGUAAAUAUAUUAAAUAUGCAUUAUUAAAGAUAAAGCAUUAAUAUAAUCAAGCACAUGAAUUUGAUUGAAAUUAUGAGCUAUACGGUAAGCCUUAAAUCUAUCAACUUCAUUGGUGCUUUUGAGUUUUAUUUUUAAAAUCCAUUUGCACAUGAUUAAUCAACAAUAAUAAGAGAGUUUAAUAAAUAUCCUUAUCUUAUUGACAACAUGAAAAUUGAAUUCAUUGAUGAUGGCAUAUUUCUAUUAAGUAGCUUUAAGAAGAUGGUGUUGUAGAUUGAAACAAGCAUACAAUAAAUCUAAGUUAUAAUUCUCCAUUGGAUUGCAUAGAGAAAAAAACUCUUUUGUAGUGCAUGUAGAUAUGUAUCGUAGAGUGUGAAAUGGCUGCAAGGAAGAUAUGUUGAUGUUGGCAAUGGGAAUGGUUGAAAAGAUGGGACUAAUAAACAAGGCCGUAAUAGAUUUGUAGUUGGCUAAAAAAGAAAGAUUAGCAAAUAUGGCCACAAUAGACAUGGGAUUAGCCAAAAUGAGUGGAAAAUAGAUGCGUCAUCUUUAUCAUGAUUAUUCUUAUAGAUCUAAAGAGGAUAGAUGGAUCUAUAAUAAUGGCAAAAAGAUGAAGGAGUUAGGCUUGUUGGUGGUAAACAUAAAGAUCAAUAUGAAAUAUGAACUCAAGUUUAGAGUAAACAUUUAAGAUAGGGUGCUAAUUGCAAGAAGAGUGGAGCAUAGAUCUAAGUUAAGAUGAGAUCAUUGGCUCUAAUUUAAAAUCAGCUAGUGACACUAAAGUUAAAAGAGGAGAACUAAGAUGAGAUCAUUGGCCUUGAUUCAAACUUAAUUAGUGGCGCUACAAUCGAUAUAUGAGAACUAAGAUGUAUUAGACAUUGAUAAAGGUAAUAGAAGUCGGAUGCAAGGACUACCAAUUGUUGAUGUAGAUUAUUGAGCAAGAAUGAGAUCAAUGAUAAGAGAGAAGUUGGAUAUCUAGUCUGAUUAUAUUGGAGUUGUUCCAUGAAUGUGGAAAAUUAGGACCAUUGUUAUGGUAGAAAGAGAUUGAUUGUUGAUUAUUGUAGGCAAAAGAAUUUGAGGUUUUUAAUGAAAAAUAUUAUUGCAUGAAACAAUCAUAGUGUUAGUAUUGAUAUUUUGAAGUUUAUAUCUUUUAUUAAUAGAGUUAUAGCCUAAGAAGAUGCAUUCACUUAUUUUAGAAUCAAAUUUUAUAUAAAAUAUAUCUAAAAUCUUUGCAAAAAAUUAGCUCCCAAAGAUACAAAGAUAUAAUAUAUAUUCCAUUUGCGAUUGUGCCAUAGCUCAAAUGAAGUCCUUCGGCAAGUAAUGGCUUUGGUGGAAUAUUAAUUUUAAAGAUAAGUGGCACAUGUAACCACUUCUUCUUUAUAUGAUUUGGAAAGGUAUGCUUUAUGAAGCAUAUAUUGUAUACUCAAAGCCAAAAAAUAUAGGUGGAAAAAUUCUCCCAUUUAAAUUAGAAUGGAUGAGUUUAAAUUUUUGAGUGGCUUGAAAAGUGGUAGAUUUGAGAAAUUUGGUGAAGGUUUAUUUGUCAUAUAAAAAAGUCAAAUAUAUAUGUUGAAAAACGUGUUUGAGUGGCAAUUCCAUAAUGCCCUUAUAUUGAGCAAAUUGAUUAAGGCAUUGAACAAUUAUACAUUAGAGUUGAUGAUGCUAAAGGUGUGAUAAUUUUUUCAAAUUGAUUUAAAUAUUGGAUUAUAAAAGUAUACUCAUAUAAAGAUUUGUAAUAUUUGAAAGAAGGCAUUGGAAUUUCAAGUAGAUAAUGGUUUUAUAAUUAGAAAGAAAUAUACACGCCAAAGCAAUUAGAAGAUUUUGUGGUAGGUAAUGAAGGUCUAGCAACCAAUGUGGCAAUUAGUUUCACAAUGGCAAUGACAUUUGCCAAAGUAACAAAUUGCGAUAGUUUAGAUGUCAGCAUUGGUAGUAAUAAUUGAAAGACUAGGAUCAACAAUAGAAAUAGCACAAAAUACUAUGGCCAUAGAUUUAAGUGUAGUCGACUUGACAAUAGUUGUUUUCAUAAUUGUAGCCUUGGUGACAAUGUUGUCGGGGUAGAGAGAGUUCGCCUCAAGAAAACGCUGGGCUUUUGGCUAUCACUAAUUAUUCAACCAAGCUUGAAAAUAAGAGAAGCCCUAAGUUUAUAUAUAAGUUUUCCCUUUUUGAGUAAUUACACCAAAUACACAAUCUUCAAGUAACCCAAAACUUCCAAAAUAUGAUAAAAUCUUCUAAACCUUAUUUAUUCUUAUGUGGAGAUUUUUCCAAACUUUAAUACUUCAUAUCUCCUAAUCCGACUGUCCAAACAAACUCAAAUUUCACGUGAAGUACUGAUGUAUUCUUAUUAACUUCUACAACAAUUUUCAACUGCAAAUUCAUUGCAGAUCUUGAGAUAUCUUGAAAACCCUAACAGUCACUUCAAACCCUUGUCUUUAUAUAUCCGUGUGCAAUUUUCUUCAUAUCUCACAAAAUAUAAGCUCAAAUGCCAUGAAAUUUGUAUAUAUAACUUUUUAAUACAAAAUUUUACAUUCUCCAAAAAGUUUGAACCAAAAAUUUGUCCGAAAAUUCAAGUUAUGGCUCCAACCAUUACUACAAAUAAACCCACUUACUUACUGCUUUUGAUUUGAAAGCGCCGCCUUCAACUCCUUACAACUCCUUUAUAUAAACUCUAAAAGCAAUAAUUCUUUCAUGAAAGAUGUAGACCUUGAAAUCGUUGUUCCAAUUGCACCUUCCGAUCUUCAAAAGCUGCUGUAAAACUCCUCGUAUCCUCAAAAGAAUAACAGUAUGUCUUAAAUAAACACCUUAACUUCAAACGGCUAUAACUUCUUCAUCCUAGCUCCAAAUCCUCUAAUAUUUGUAUACAAAUUGUACUCCAAACCCUAAACUUUACAAUCCUAGCUUGUAAUCUCCGAAUUUCAUCUUUGAAGUCGCCAAAAUCCUUCUAAAGGUCGCAGGCAGCCUCCUCAAAGCCCAUUGGGCAUGGUAUUCGACCAAUAGGGAUGAAGUUCCCCAUUCCUUGCCUUCAUUUGACCAUACCUUACUUUCAUCCCUCCCAAUUAGCCUCCUACUAGUUUAGAUUUUCAUCCUCACUCUUCUACCUUCUUCUAAGGCUUCAUACAAAAUAUUUAGGUCCUAUAUAUAUAUAUAUAUAUAUAUAUAUAUUUUUUUUUUAAUGUAAAAAUCAAAAAAAGUAAUGAAACAAAGUAAAGUUUCUUAUAUCAACUCUUUUUAAUUUAAUCUACUAGCCACUCUAACACACAUCUAGAUUUAUUAACAUAUAGUAUGUUCUAACUAAUUUUUACAUAUUAUAAGCAUUUACAGUACGACAACGUCCUUGGCAUCAAUAAUAGUAUUUGUAAGGAGGGUGGCAUAGAUUGUGGUGGCAAUUGUGGUAGCAAUAGUAUUGAUUGUAGUGGUAAUAAUUAGAGGGCCUAGCUGAUAAGAUAGAAAAAUUUACUAAAAACCAAGUCACAUGAUUAGACUUAAAUGAAGCCAAGAAGAUAGAUGAAUAUAAUAUAAUGGGAUAAAAGAUGCAAGACUUUUAUUGCUAGAAAAAAUUCAUAUAAAUUCAAUUGAAUUGUUGCUAGAUAUAAGUUACUAUAGGUCUAAGCAACCAGAUAAAAAGAUGGAUUAAUUGUCUUAUCAAAUAAAUAUAGAUUAUCUUUUAAAAGAUAGUUUGCAAAGAAAUUACUAUGAUAAUUUAAUAAAUAAUAGGUUUAAUUUUUAAUUAAAAGGCCGCCACCUUGUUGACCACAUUUACAAAUGGAGAGUAAAUUUUUAUAUAAAUUACAAACAUAAAGAGUAUUUGUGAAGCAAAAGAUUUUUUCAUUAACCAAAAAAAAAAUAUAUUUUUAAUUUUUUGUAUAUUUUACUUGAUUUUUGUAUAAAUCUUGGUUUUCACUUACUUUUAUUUUUGCAACUAGUAAAAAGAACUUGUGAUUUGAAAGAAAAACCUUUCAUGGCAGUUUUUCUUUGAAGUAGAAUUACAAUAAGGUUAGACAAAGUUAUAAUUUGGUGAUUUGUAAUAUUUGAAUUACAAUUUCACAUUGAAAUGGCAUGGAUUUUAAGAGAGUAAUUAUGUCCAUUUUUAGGAGUAUUAUCAUUCUUACAGAGUGGCAUUAUUGAAGUAGCAUUUUGUAAUUACAUAACUAUUAUAUCUUGGAUUUUUUAGAUUUUAUUUUUUGUAUAAUAAAAUUUUCUUUCAAGAUGAACUUGAGUGAUAAUGUUACUUGCUGAAUAUAUGUUUUUAAGAGCAAGCUAAGCUUUGUUGAUAAUUCUACAUGCUCCUAUAUAGAAAAAAAUUAUAUUUUCAUCACAAUUCCAAAUUGUUCUAAAAAUACUAUGAUCUCUUUUCUUCCAUGUAAUUUUUUUUAUUUGAUUUAAUAGAUAUGAUAUUAUAGUAUCUAAUUUUAUAUUUAAAAUUAGCUUUUUUUAAUUCUAAAAACUAGAUUUUAUAUUUCUUUCAUUUCAAACUUCAUUUGGAUUUUUAAUUUUCAAAUGCCGUACCACCAUUAAUCAAAUUUUAGCUACUCUUUCUUUGAAAAACUAUUUGUAGUCAUUUUAAGUAAUAAGAUAUACUAGUGUUUUAGUUUUUUUAUUGAACGUCUUCAACAAAGCCUUCUCUUCUUGAAUGUACUACUACUGUUUUUUUAGAAUUUUUAAAUUAAAUUUUUUUUGAUAUUACAAUUAAAUAUUAUAAUGAUAAUAAUAAUUAAUUUUUUAUUCUAUUUUAAAUAAUAUUUAUAAAUUAUAAAUUUAUUUACAAGAAUAUUUAUAAUAUUAAAAAAAAUAUAUCAAGAAGGUCAUGCCCUCUCAAUAAACGUGCAUUGUUUAUGUAGGGAUGUAGUUUAUUAGUUGAUUUAAUAACACUAGAAAUAAAAAAGAAGAUGCGCCAUGAUUUAAAGUGCUUUAUUACCUUUUUUGUAACCAUCAUCACUUUUCUAGCUUUGUGCCUUCUCUAUUCAUGUAUGUACAUGAGCUUGUAUGCUAUCUUUUUUUUCAACCUUAUCAAAUAAUUUCAUACAUAUUACUUUAUCUAAAUAUAAUAUCAUAUAAUUCUUUCUAUACAUCUCAAGGUCAUUCAUGAGCAUUGAAUUGUUAUAUAAGAAUUUGCGUUAUCAUUAGUAUGUUUGUGCUUUCAUUUUGAAAUCAAAAUAGUAGUAUAAAACUUCUUAUUAGCCUUGAUGAUAUUGCAAAUAUGUAAUCAAUAUAGAUUGAUGUAAGCUAUAAAACAUCAUACUCAAUUUUAAAGAGAUAGAAUAUAAGAUUGUCAAGGAUUGUAAACUAAAAGCAAUGAGUCCCAUUAAUAGAUCUUAAUUGGUAGAAUUCUUAAAAAUAUAGGUUUUAAUUACUUAAAUAUAUAAAUAUUAAUAUUAAAGAGUCUUUUUAAUGAUUUAAGUAUUUAUUAGAACUUAAUAAUGUUUAUAAGAUAUAAAAGUUUUAUUAAAGAAAAAUUUAUAAAAAUAGAAUUUUAGUAAGUCUUGGAAGCAAUUAACUUAGUUGAUUUAGAAUUUUUACUUAUUAUUGAGUAUCAAUUAUAGUUGAAUAUUUUAGUUGAUUUAAAUUGAUUUUAUUACUACAAAAAAUCACCAAGGUAGGAAAUUUUGGCUUUAAUAUGAUAUGAUUAUUUAAAAAAUAUUAUAAUUUUUAAAAAAUUUAUUUAAAUUUUAUUUAGAAAUUUUAAGAUUUUUUUAGAUUUUUUUUUUAAGAUUUCAAUAAAAUUAAAUUUUUACCACUUUAAGAGCUAUUACAAAGCAAUGGAAUAAGAUUUGAAGGUCAUACAAGGUUCUUAAGCUAAUGGAUAUUUUUGAAUACUAUGGUGAAUUUAAAAAUACAAAAAGUUAUAUUUUAUUAGUAGAAAAUAAGAAGACUAGUAGCUAAUCUAGUACUUAUAAGAACAAAGGUACAUAAGUCCCACUUGGAUUGUCACACCUUAAAUGUAGUUAGGAAGAUUAGACUAAAGCCUUGUGUCUUCUCUAAGCAACCUAAAUACACUAUAUUUGAACCUUGGUGAGGCUUGAAUUCUUGAUUUAUAGCCAAGUUAUCUUUGAGGUAAAAUAUUUUUAUUUAAUUUUUUAUUUAUUUACUUUUUAGCUUUAUAUCUUAAUAAUUUAUUCAUAAUAACUUGGAUUUAUAAUUUUUUUACAUCAUUAAAAAGAUAAAUAAAAUUAAUUUAAAAAAAUAUUUAAUAUUUUUUACUUUCUACUUAUUAUUAGAUGCAAAUUU
rnacentral:lncRNA from 1 species